rnacentral:lncRNA from 1 species
CAUUGUAUCCUACAUAAAAAUCAACUAGGUUCUUACAUUGUAAAAGGUUCAACCCAAACACUAACCUAAGACCCAAGACUUAUACAACACAUACACAUCAAAAGCAUAGAACCCAUCAAAACACAUUUAAGAUUGAGGUUUAAGCCUUUUAUAAAUAUAUGCCAAAAAUCUAGAAAGGCCCAAACUCCAUUAGAAGCCAUUGAAUACAUGAGGCUUAAGCCUCAACAACCUUGAGGUUGUAUGCCUCAAUAGAGUGUAGUUUACCAUUAGUUACCUUAUACUAAGGCCCUAGCCUUAAUGUUAAUUUAUAACAUCCUCAAUGAGGUGAGCCUCACAACAUGAAACUCAAUAUGUUUCUAAAACAUUGUAUGAACUAAUAAAAAUUCUAGAAUUUAGCACCUUCCUUGGCCAAAACAUUGUACUAACAAAAAAUUCUAGUUUUUAAACUAAUGUCUUUAGCCAGACUAAGGAUUUCAACCAAGGGGGAAAAACCAAAAACAAAAAAAGGCCCUACCACAACUCACAAGUAAUGGGCAAUGGAGGAAAGAUCUUUUUUUCUUUUUUUUUUUUCUUUUUUGAGGCAAGUAGAGGAAAAGAUAUCAACUAUUGUUCACUACAAAUAAAUGAUUGGGAGUUAGGUGAGGUGGAAGGGUUACUUAGAAGAUUGAAAGGGCAUGUGAUCAAUGGAGUGGAGGAUGUUACAGUUUGGUGGUUGUCGAAGGGGGGCACCUUUUCUGUCAAAUCUUUCUACUCCUCCUUAGCAGGUUGUUAUCCGAAAAGUUUCCCCACUAGCUUGGUGUGAAAUCCUUGGGUGUCAAUUAAAAUCAACUUCUUUGCUUGGGAAGCAAUUUGGGAAAAAAUUCUAACUCUGGAUCAACUAAGAAGGAGGGGUUGGAGUCUUCCAAAUAGAUGUUAUUUGUGUAAGGGUAAAGAGAAGUCAGCAAACCAUAUUCUCCUUCAUUGUCCUAAGGCAAGCAUGUUGUAGCACCUUAUUUUGGCUAUAUUUAAUGUUCAGUAGGUGAUGUCGUUCUCGAUCAAGGGUACCCUCAUUAGUUGGUGUGGUGCCUUUAUGAAGGCUUGGAAAGCUAAGCCUUUGUGUCUAUUUUAGACCUUAUGGAAGGAGAGAAAUUGAAGAGCUUUUGAAGAUUCUAAACUAAAAGACCACGUGAUUUUACGCUCCUUCAUGUACAUGUUUUUAGAGUGGGUUAGGGUACAUGUAGAGUUUACUUCUUUGUCCCUUUUACAUUUCAUAGAUUGGUUGGGCUGUAAGUGAAGUGAGGGUGUUGUUUUUUUACUAUCCCUCCUUUUUUUUGGCCUUGUAUAUAUUGUGUAUACUUUAGGCACUUUUAAUACAAUUGCUUUACUUAUAAAAAAAAAACUAGUUGUUCACUGGCCAUGCAUAGGACACAUUGCUUGAUGACUAUGUAAGUUCUUCAAACUUGAAGGAUACAGUUGGCAACAACCUUCCUUUAUGCAAUUGCCCAUGCUAAAGUUUUGACUUUUUAAGGGCCUUUCUUUCUAAUAAAUUUAGUUAGAUGGAAAAUGGUAAUGUUAUUGUUUCUAGCAAACUCAAAGAAAGGAAUUAGAAGAAGAGGGGAAAACAAAAGAAAAACCUUCUCUAGAGUCUAACAACAUCUAUUGGAAAUUAGAGAUAGUGGACAUUCUCCAACGAAUGAGCAAGAGAAGAUAGAUUCCUUAAUUUUUUUGUUUUUGAUAUUUAUGGUGAGGUUGAUCAAAGGAGAUGAAAAGGAUAAGAAAAGAGUGAAAUCGCCUAACUGAAAUUUAUAAAAUUAAAGAAAAGACAUACCAAGAGGUUGCUUCCACACCAAAGAUCCUCCUAAGAAUAAAUUUUUUAGUCAUCAUGUAAUGAACCUAACUAGGGGAGAAAAGUGAAGCUAGCAUUAAGACAUGACUUUUCAAGUACGGAUGAGAAGCCCUCACAACAAAACAUAUUUACAUCAUAGCACCAUAGAGAACUUUCUCCUGAAGAACCCCAAAGACAAUUACUAUAGGAGCUUUAAUUCAUAUAUAAACCCCAACAAAACCUAUACCCCAUGAUCUUAGGCUUACACAUAAUGUACCAAUAAAAGGCAGAUCUUUCCAUGGUUGCCUUAAUAUUGGGCUCACACACAAUGUACCAAAGGAAGCUCCUCCACAACUUCUGAACCCUAAAAGUCAUGCUAUGAUUAAUACUUAAGAUGGAAAAAAAAACAACAAAGAUGUAGGAUAGACAAUUUUCUUUCUUUUAUUUUUUGAAUGAGAAACAAAAUAAGGUAGACAAGAUUAAGAGUGAUCCAACUCCCAUACAAAAAAAAAAAUGGUUUCCUUCCAACUGUCAAGCUGUUUCAACACGUUCUUCAUCAAUAGAUCCUAAAAUUCUUGAGAUUUCUUAAAGAUAGAGAGGAAUUUUGUUGCUAAGAAGGAGAGGAAACAAAUAGAGUGCAUAUAUGUCUAUAAACUAUUUAUUUUUAAUUUACCUAUUAAAAAAAAAAUAUCUAUCCUACAUCUAGUGGCUACGAGGGAGAGGAGAAACAAAGUGCAAAACUACUCUUUUUAGGCAAUCAUAAAUAUUACAACAUAAGCAAAAAUACUUCUUGCUUAGUUUUUUUUUUUUGAUAAGUAAAGGAUAUGCAUUAAAAAGGCAAAACGCCACAAAGCAUACAAGGAGUAUACAAGGCGGCUAAGGCCUCAAAAAACAAAGACAAAAAGAAUCACCUCCCUUUAGGUGGAUGCUAUCCACUCCAGGAAGCCUAUAAGGGAGAACGCCUCCUCACCUACAUACAAUUUGGUCCAACUCCACAAAUUACAGAGAAAAAAAUUCUUUAACUUCUGAAUGUUCAACACACCCCCCCUAAAGGCUAAUCUAUUUCUCUCCUUUCAUACUGUCCAAAAAAUACACAACGGAAUGGCGUCCCAAAUCUUUUUCCUUUUCUUCCCCACAAACGAGCCCCUCCAGCUAGCUAAGACCUCCUUUACAGUUUCUGGAAAAACCCAUUUCACAUCAACUAAACCAAAAACAAUAUCCCACAAAGCUCUAACCACUGUACAAUGUAUAAGGAUAUGAUUUACACUUUCUUCUUCACAUCCACACAGGAAGCAACAAUUUGGAAGUUAAACCCCUCUUCUUUGAAGUCUAUCCAACGUAAGCACCUUCCCCUACGUCGCCUCCCACGCGAAGAAUGCAACUUUAGUUGGCACCCUUGCCACCCAAAUGCUUCUUGAAGGAAAAUCUGUGUCAUUAGACUUAGUCAACAAUCUAUAAGCUUCCUUGACCCUGAACUGACCACUUCUUCCUUGCCUCCACAGGACUGAAUCUUCCUCCAAAAAGGGCUUAUGACCCCUCAACAUAUAGAGAAAUUCCCCAACUGUAUCCAACUCCCAAUCAUUGAAAUCCCUCAGAAAAUUUAGGUUCCAAUUUCCUUAACCCGAACUUUGAUCCCACAUUUCCUCAACCGUUAAGUUCCUUUGAGCAGCCAUGCCAAAGAGAUGAGGAAAACAGUGGGACAGCGCUGAAUCAGAACACCACACAUCUGUCCAAAAUCUAAUCGUAUUGCCUUUCCCUUACCACCAAAACUUCUUUUUAAGUUCCUGUGCAUGUCUUUAUAUGUCAUCUUCAAAGUUCCAAAUUUUUAGGUUCAUCAUCAUUCCCUUACCACCAAAAAUGAAAUAAAAAAAAAACUAAUAUAUUAAGCAAAAAAAAAUAUUCAAUAAUUACCAUAAUUUUCAUUAUCAAGAUUCAAACCAUUCAAAUGAAAAUUCUUCAAUAUUCAUUGUAAAAAUAAACUUCCUUGACCUCUAUUAUAGAAUCUAACAACAAGAAUACAACUUUUCAUGUAAGAUUAUUUUACCUAUUUCUCCUUUUUAAGUUCAAUUUUUAAUCUUUUAGUCUAAUUUGAGGUAAAUCCACAAACAAAUCAAAUUGCAACACAUCCAAUAUUAGACUUGAACAACCUUUAAUACAGGUUGAGUGCUUGAUGGUUGGCCAAUAGUCAUCCAAGGAAUUUUGGACACAUUCUUUCUCAACCCCUGAGGGAAGGACAUUUCUAGUAAACUUUUGGCCAAAGGAUAAUAAGUCAUCUAGUAAUUUCUUAUAGAGGCACUGAGAGAAAAAUGAAGAUCUUACUAAACAUCAUAGAGUUUACUUCCAAGGAUAUCUUAAAUCAAAGUCUGAAAAAUAAUCUAAAGGUAAUAAUUUUCUAAGAACUGAAAAAUAAUAAAGAACUAUUCUCAAAACCUCAAACCUAGGAAACCAAAAACAUGAAAGAAAGUUCAGAGAAUUUAUUUUUUUUUCUUUUCUUUUCUUUUUUGUUUGUUUGUUUGUUUGUUGAUAGGUAAGUGAAACAUGUAUUAAAGACAAAAGAAAGUAUAUAUAAUGCAUACAAAGCAACCAAAAGACCAAAAAGUUUUUUUUAUUAUUUUUAUAACUGAGGAACCUUCCAUGGCCAAGCUCUUAGGACUCUCCAUAGGGGACCCAAACCUUAGGGUGCUGACCGCCCCGCAACAACCAACACCAGGUAAAUUCAAGGUAUUAUCAGUGGUAGGAUUCGAACCAGGACCAUUUACUACUUAUUAGGACAAAAGAAAGUAUAUAUAAUGCAUACAAAGCAACCAAAAGACCAAAAAGUUAUGGUGAAGCUCUUAGGACUCUCCAUAGGGACCCAAACCUCAAGGUGUUGACCGCCCUGCAACAACCAGCACCAGGUAAAUUCAAGGUAUCAUCAGUGGUAGGAUUCGAACUAGGACCAUGUGCCCCUUAUUGGGACCACACCUCCUAAUGUUCGCAACCAAAAGACCAAAAAGUGAGGCACGAAGACACAAAAACCAGCAACAAUGCCCUACAAAGAGCUUAACCAGUCCACAAAUUCUAACAAUGACAAAGAACCAUUCCCAAUAUAUAGAAUAACUCAAUCCCAAAAAAGGUUCAAGAAAGAAAUUUUUAAUUGUUUGGCCCAAGCUUUCACAAUUAUGGAGGUUCUCCUAUUUCUCUCUCUUUAGAUGGUCCAAAAAACGCAAAAUGAAGCAACUUUCCUAAACACCUUUAUUUCUCUUNNNNNNNNNNNNNNNNNNNNNNNNNNNNNNNNNNNNNNNNNNNNNNNNNNNNNNNNNNNNNNNNNNNNNNNNNNNNNNNNNNNNNNNNNNNNNNNNNNNNCUUUAUUCUCUUUUUUCCAAUAAAAGAACCAUAUCAACUCAAGAGAAACCCCCUAACUGAAGAACACAUCACUCAUUGUACAUCAAACAAAGCAAAAAUCAACUACCACAAAUUGUGUUUGUUCGUGCAAUGAAAGAGAAUAUGAUCACCUGUUCCUUCUUCUUCUUUGCACAUGUAGCAUCUAUUAGGAAUCCCCCAACCCUUCCUUCUAAGUUGAUCCAUAUUCAAAAUCCUGACCCAAGUUGAGACCCAAGAGUUCCAUAUUAUGUCAUAAGAGAAUGGUUCCCCUCUCCUAUUUGCUAAGGAGAAGUAGAAAGACUUAACUAAGAAGCUUCCAUUCUUUGAGCCCAACCACACUAUAAUAACCUCAAAGCCCAAACUAGUGGAGUGGUCAUACAAUCUCCCAAAAAAUACAUCUCCUCGAGCUCCUAACCAUGUAACUAUCUAACAAACCUAGGGCCCCUAGCUACCACCACCCUGACAUCAACCACUUAAGCAUCUUUUAAAGAGGCUAUAGAAUAAAGAUCUAGAAAUGAUUCCCUCAAAGGUGUAUCUCCACACCACUUGUCUAUCCAGAACUUCAUCUUGUUGUCGAAGCCAACUCUGAGACUUGUUUUAUUCGUAAGUACCUCUCAUCCACCUCAAAUUGUUUUCCACACCCCCACUUCAUACCCUUCUCUCACUUCUUUAGUGCAUCACCCCCCUUCUUCCUACUUUUACUUUCCUACAAUAACCCGUUUCCAAAGAGAGUUUCCUUUCACACACAAAUCUCUAGGACUAUUUUCCCAAAAGAGCUUUAUUAAGGAUGCCCAAUCACCCCACUCUCCUAUCAUGUCAAAUAGCCUCAAAGAAUCCUAUUACCUCAUUACCAAGGUAAAAAAUAUUGAUAUCCAUGGACAUAUUUGUGGAUCAAAUGUAUAGAAAUCUCAAUGGACAUAUCAAUACAAAUGUAAAUUUCGAUAAAAUUAUAAAAAUUAAAAAAAAAAUGAAAUUUUGGAUGGAACUCUAGAGAUCAUAAAACAAUUAAUAAUGUACAUACUAAAUAAGUCCUUUUCUUUUAUAAGAAAAUAAUAUAUGUACAAUAAAAUUUAAGACAUUGGUCAAUAAGAAAUGUCCUUGUGAGUUGGCAUGAAUCCUUUGUUAGGAAGAAGAGGAAAAAAGUUUGGAAGGCAACUCCUUGUACUUAAUUCAGGCCAUUUGAAAAGAGAGGAAUGAGAGAAUGAUUGAAAAUACUGAAAUAAAAUGGAUCAAGAAAUCAAACAAUUCUUUAUGUAUGAUUUUGGAGUUGCUUAAGAGUGUAUAUAAAAGAUUAUACAAUACUGGACUUCAUUGAUUGACUAAGCUCUAAGUAGGGUGAGGGAGUUGUUUUUUGUGUCCCUCCUUGUUUUUUUUAGCCUUUUAGCACCUUUGUACAUGCCAUAUAUGCUUUUGCAUGCCCUUUGGUUAGAUAUUUUUAAUAUAUUUGAUUUUUUCCUAUAAAAACAAUCACCUAAUAUUCAUGUAACUUUCCACUAAAACUAUCUUAAAUUUCUCUCAAUAUACUUACAUUCAUUUAUUUGAAAAAAAAUCUAAAAACCUUCAAAAGAAAUUAUUAAUUUUACUAUAAUUUUAAUAAGAUUUUACAUCAAAUAUUUUUAUUAGAAAAUGUUUUUAAAAAUUUAUCUAUAAUUUUUUCAUCAAAUUAAUUUUCAAUAUUAGAACAUGUUUUUAAAAAUCUAUUUACAAUUUUUUCAUCAAAUUAAUUUUCUCAUUUAAUAAUGAGACUAAUCACGGAAUGCCCCUCCCAUCUUCCCCUUUUAUCUACUCCCUACCUGGAUGGAGAUUAUAUAUUAGAAACCAAGGUAAGAUAGAGGAUAGGAUUUCAAUGAUAGCCCACAACAAGUUCUUGAUGAUAUGCCACACCUAUUUUGAAAGUUAACAUCCAAAAGUAUGAUAUUCAUUUUGGGCUUUGGAGCUAAAGAGUUAGUAGGCGUUUUCUAUUUUUCCCCAAAGCAAGUGUAUUAGCAUUAUUCAUUUUUUUUUUUUUUUUUUGAUAGAUACAACAAAGGAGUAUGUAUUAAAAGGAAACACCCAAACAGCAUCCCAAAGUAUACAGGGAGUAUACAGUGGCCACCCAAACUGGGAAUAUGUAUUAGCAUUAUGAGCUCCAAAUAUUGAGAAAGUCAAUCUCUGUAUACCUUACUUGUACUUGGGGGCAUCUUUUUUGUAUCUAAUAAGCUGGCUAUCAUCAUCAAUAAUAAUAAUAAAGGCUUAUAAUAAUAAUAACAAACAAUAAAGGUCUAGAAUCCACUUGUCCAAAGAUCUUAGAAGAAAUAAUAACAAUGCUGAAGCAUACUUCAGGGAACUAAAAGGAAACCCAUUCAUGGUGUAGAGUUUAUUAUCUGUGGGUUCUAGGCCCAACAAACAAAUAAACAAUCAGAACAGAACAAAGUGUUUCACCCAAAAACAACAAGGGAACACUAGUUAGUUCACCACUACAGAGCUGAGAAAGGAGAAAGGAGAAAGGAACCAUACUAGAUACAUCCUUUUAUCAGAGUAUCUUUUCUAGGCAAAUGAAGUACACAUUUUGCAUCUAAUAGCUUGGAGUUUGCAAGUGGCAAGCAAGCAUUGGCUCAUGUAUAACUGAUGGAACAUCUCUAAGAUGUCAGGUAAAAUUAUCAUUAUGCCUAUUGGAUGCAACAUCUAAAUUACUAGGUCUCCUAAAGAAAAACCAAAUAUGUAACCAAAAACUUAUCAAUAAGCAAACAAUUCAUAUUGCAAGUAUCACAGUAGAAAAGUGAACACUAAACACAGAAAUCAGGUGAUCAAUACAUCAACCAGACAAUAAACAAAUAAACCACAUACCUAAACUUCUACUGCUGUUGCGGAGGAUUUGGCGGAGGUGGCAUGCCGGGACGAGGUGGUCCAAAAACAGGGACACCACUGCCUGGUGGAGGUGGCAUUCCAGGACGAGGCGGUGGUGGGGCCUGCAUUCCAGGCCGAGGUGGAGGUGGCGGACCUCUCAUCAUCUGAGGGGGCGGCACCAUUGGCCGGCCCCCAUACUGCGGUGGGGGAACCUGGAAGGGAGGCUGCGGUGCUCCUCCGGGCCUAGCAGCGAACUGAGCAGGCACGGGAGGCGGUGGGCCACGUGCAAUCUGGGGAGGUGCCUGCCCGGGGUAUCCAGGCAUCUGUCCGGGAGGCCGAAUUACCGGCGCGGCCGGGUAAGUCAUGGGCGGUGCAGAUAGCUGGGGCACCGGCGGGCGCGAGAUCUGAGGCUGCAUCAUGCCUGGCGCAGGGCCACCAACUCCGCGAACGGGUCCAGCGAGGCCAGGCUGAGCCUGAAUGAGGGGAGCGGUGGGGAUUCCACGACCGGCAGCGCGGCCGAUGCCAGGACCGGCCAUGGCAGCGGCGCCGACGGCUUUGGCGCGGGACUCUUCGGGAGGGGGCGGACCCUCUACGGUCAUGGAAAUGACCUCUUCUCCUCUGAGGAGAACAAGGCCUAGGGUUCGUCGUUCUUCGCGUUCUUCGUUCUUUUUACCCUUAGCAGGAGGCAAUUUUCUGAACUCUUCGCAGUCGCCCAGGACGAGGUUCAUGUGGCGGUCGAAUGCCAUGAACUUUCCGACGAGUUGACGGCCAUCCUGGAUGGUCACUCGCAUUCUGUAGUUGAUGUAUUGAAGCAUCUUUGAACUUUUAGACAUCGACAUCUUUCUUGGAUUUGGGUGGUGUACGGGUGGAACUGGCUAGGGUUUUGGGGGUUUUGGGGUUUUUAGGGUUUUGGAAGAGUGAGAGAGUGGAGACUGUAGUGGUUCCAAAAAAGAGGUUUUGGUGGGAGAGUCGCAAGUUCUUACAAGACUAGCCUCCUAGGGUCUCACAAGACUAGUUUAGCCACAAACCAAACCCUUCCCUCGCUUGGUUUGUUUAGUUUUAUACAGUACCAAAUGUUCACGUGCAAUGCACGUGAGGUAAUACGAAAGAAAAGUCCAAUAAAAAAAUAAAUUUAUAAAUUUAUUUUUUUAAAUCCUUCUAUAAAAUUAAGAAGAGAUUUAGAAUCAAAUAAUUGAAUUAGAACCAAAAAUAAAAAAUAAAAAAUGGUUAUGAUGGAAAAUAAAUAAGGUUACACGUUUCCAUACCAAAAUUUUAGAUAGUAAAAUUCUUUUUAAAAUCAAUUUUUCUAAAUUAAAGAAAAUAAACAUUAUCUUAAAGGUAUGUACCAAAUUUUAUUUAAACAUAUUAUAUGUUUCUUUUAGAUUAAAUUUGUGAGAUUUUUUAAGUUAAUCAUUCUAUAUAUAAUUUAAAUGAUUUUUUUUCUUAACAGCUAUAAUACUUAGGAAUUCAUUAUUAUUAUCUUCGUAUUUCUCUUGCCAAGUCAACAAUUAACAUAAUCAACUUGUUGACACUCGUUCUUAAGUAUGGGUUUGAUUCAAAUUCAUUGCAACAUGAUAUAACUUUCACUUGUCCCAAAUUUAUGAAAAGUAGAUGAAUUUAAAAAAUAAAUAAUAAUAAUAAUAAUAACAAUACAAACUAAAUUACUUAUCCAAACAUACUUUUCAUUUGCAUAUUAGAAAUGACAAUAGGUCAGGAUGGUUUACCUUCACAUCCCAACCUUAUCCCAUUUAUUUAUAUAUAUAUUCUUAUCCAAACAGAAAAAAAAAAAAUGGGAUGAGGUGAAGGCAAGUUUUUAAAAAAAAUUUAGUUUAUUAAAAGGAAAUAUAAUUUAUAAAUAAAAAUAUAUUAUAAAUUAUUUAUAAUUAAUUUUAUGAAAAGAAGUUGAAAAACAAAAAAAUCCAACUAAAUUUUUUUAAUAUUUAAAUUAUAUAUAGGAACAAGGCGAGACAAAGUCAUACUUAAACCCAUCUUGAAUUUAUCUGAAGUUUUUAAAAACUUUCCAAACUGGUUUGAACUCAUUUAUUUUUAUCCAAAACCAUUUCCAUUAAAAGCGAAACAAGUUGGGUACUAAAAAAAACAUCACAUUGUCAUCCCUAUUGUGUUUUUGGAAUAUAAUACCAAGCCAUAAUACAAAGAAAUCAUGAGCAAAUAAAAAGAGAAAUUUCUUAUUAAGAAACAAAAACUAUUUUUUGAUCUCCCAAAAAUGCUUGGUAUUCCAUUUUUAAAUUGUUAAAUAUAGCUGAUUAAAAUUUCUCUAAGAAGAUUGGUUGGUAUUUAAAAAAAUAAAAUAAACAAAGAUUAUGAGAAAAUUCUACUAAUCCCAAAACGGGGAUUCAACUUAACUAAAAAAAAAACAAAAAAAAACCCAAAAAACAAAUUUCAAUUAAAAUAAUAACUUUAUUUUUCUUAUUAUAAAAUUUAAGUUGUGAAUAUCGGUCAAAAAUAAAAUUUAAAAGAAACAAAAUAAGACAAAUUAAAAGUAUUUGUAGAAAUACUAAAUUUAUGUCAUAAGUAAGAAUCUUCUAUUCCUAUAGUCAUUACAUUAUAAAAUAAAAAUCGUCUCCAAUUAUUAUAAAUAUUGGAUUAUAAAAUAAAGAACUGUAAUCUCCUAUUCCUAAAAACAUUAGACUGUAAAAUAAAGAAAUACAUUUCAUUUUAGGAUACUAAUUUAGGGCCGUUUUCCAUAUUUUCUAAAACUUGUUUUUAAAAACUGUUUUUUAUUCUUUAAUUUAAAAACAGUUUUUAAAAACAAGUGUUAGAAAAUAUGGUCAAAUGGUUCAAAUUUUUCUUUUGUUUUUAAAAACUAGUGAAAACAACUCUUAUUUGUUCUCUAUUUCACUUUAUUUUUAAAAAUUGUUUCUAGAGAACAACAAUUAAACAAUAUUAAAAAAAUUUAAAAACAAUUUUGUGUUUUUUAAAACAGAAAACUGUUUUUAAAUUACACGGCCAAACAAGCUCUUAUAUUAAAAAAAAAUCAAAGAUUUUAUUCCUUAAAAAAUUCCAAUCAUUCUAAAAUUAAUAUUCGAUUAAACUAAAAAUUAGGAAAAAAACAUAUUCAAAAAACACGUACCCAAAUUUCAAUUGAAACAACUAGCUUCAUUUUUUUAUUAAAAGAUUUAAGUUGCGAAUACUUGUCUAAAAAUAAUAAAAAUUACAAGCAUAAUUAGACAAGUUAAAAGUAUUUUCAAAUAUACUAAAUUUAUAAAAUAAAUAGCAACUUCAAUUCCAAUGUAAAAUAAAGAAUUAGAAUUCAUUAAAAAUAAAUGUAUACUUGAAUACUAAACUUGAUUACCUCUCAAAUUUAUCGACAACCUUAAAUUUCAAUCUUCUCCCAACUCACGUUCACCAAACUCCUCGGAGAAUUUGACUAUUGUUCUAAAAAGCUCAAAAUCAUAGAAAUAGAAUUUAAUAAAGUAAUCAUAUUAUACUCAAUGUAUAAGUAACACAAAUAUUUAAGCAAAAUCGCUAAACAAUAACUCAUCAAAUAAUACUUCACUAAAAUUGGGAGUGUCAAUUUAUAAAAACCUCUUAAUUCUCUUCAAAGAAAAAAAAAUUAUGAGAAAUUUGAAAAGUUUUCAAACUUUUAGAGACGAAAAGUUAAACAACCCUCGAAAGAAAUUUGAGAAGUGAAGGAGUCGUUUUUAAUUUUUAAUUAGAUGAUAUAUUAAUUAUAGACAUUUUAUAAUGUUAUAGGGUGAAUUUAAAAAGAAUAAAAUUUUAAUGUAAUUGAAAUUAAUAGAUUGUGGUAAUAGAAUAAAUUUUAUAACAUUAAAUAUAAAUAGGUUGUAAACAAAAUUCCUUUUUCAAUUGUAAUUUGCAUUAAAAUAAACAAAGAUUAUGAGAAAUUUUUAGUUAUCUCAAAAUGAAAGAUGAAAAAAGGAAAAAGGAAAAACAAUAUAUACAAUAAAUAAAAAUGCAAUGAAUUAGGAUCAUGGAAAAUGCUAAAAUCUAAUAACGCAAAUGAUAAGUAACACAAGGGACGUAGCCCUAAUAAAUUAGAACACAAACAAUUGAUAUGUAUAGAUACCAUAAAUGUGAAAAAUUACUCAAAUAACAUAGGAUAAGCCAUUGUAGUCAAACAUUUUGUUUGUCUCCCUACAAUUUAUCAACUAUCAAAACGAAAAGACCAAAUCACAAAGAGAAACAAAAAGUGGGCUACUCACAAAAAUACGAGAGAAGAACAAUAAACGAUGGAAUGAAGAGAACAAAAUAAUAAUAAUAAUAAUAAUAAUAAUAAUAAAAGGUUAUGUGGACAUUGAAAAAAUGGGCCUUAGGCCCAUCCUCAAAGUCAAAGAGUAUUAUGGGUUUUAAAGAGAUUAACAUGUAUAAUGUUAAUAGAUAUUAAUAGGUUAUGAAAAUAGAAUAAAUUUUGUAAUGUUAAAUAUUAAUAGGUUGUAAUAAAUAAAUUGAUGGGGGGUAUUUUUGGAAUUAAAAGGUAAGUUGUCGAACAUGCAAAGGUUAUAAUAAAUAAAUUGAUGAAAGGUAUUUUUGGAAUUAGAAAAAAAAUAAGUUAUCAGACAUUUUUGGAUUGAAAAAAUAGAAAAGCACCUCACACUUUUAUUAGUAGUAUAGGUUUCUUUUUUAGUUUUAUGAUGGGACUUCAAUUCAUAUAAAAAAUAAUACUUGUGCCAAAAAAUUAAAAUACUUUUCACUCAAAAAAAAAAAAAAAAAGAAAGUAAGUUGGAAAUGGUAAAUAUAACCUCAAAGAAAGCAAAAUAUCCCUUAUAUUAUUUCAUAAAAACAAUAUUUUUAACAUGGAUAGAUAUAAAAAUUUAAUGAAAAGUAUUUUUAACGGGAAGAAAAAAAAAAUCAUCUUUCUAGUUUUGAAAAAUUUUAACUUUUGUGAUCAAAUAUCCCUUCAAAAAAUGGUAUAAGAUGUGACAUGGAGAUAAUUGGUAUAAUGGUUUAGCAAAAUUCUGAUAUUUAAAUGUGGUCAUUCUAUUUUGUAAAUCCUUCGAAGAGUGUGCAAUAUUUUCAAAGAUUUAGGCUACAUUUGAUAUGGAUAUGCUAAAUUACAUCCCUGGAAGGUAUAUCCAAUAAAAUAUAUUAUAUUAUACUAUUCAUAUAAAAAAUAAAAUUUUUUUAAAGACAUAAGUGAUGAUGAUGAUUGAUUUUCAUAGAUAUAUCUAUAGUUAAAAUUUAUAAAUAUAUUGAUACAUAUCUUCAGAAAUAUUGAUGAAAAUAUUAACAAAAAUAUCAAUGAGAUAGAAAUUAAUCAAAACUAAUAAAAAUAAUAGAAAAUUUCUCAAAAUAAUAAUAAUAAUAAUAAUAAUAAUAAUAAUACAAAUGUUAAAAUUGUGUAUUAAAGAAAUUUGUAUAUGUAUUAUAUAAUUUGUGAUGGUUUGAUAAGACACAUAAAUUUUUUGAGAGUUACACUCAAUAUGAAUUUAUAUCAAAUAUUUGAUUUCAUCAAUUGUCAUGUCAAUAAUUUAUACAUAUUACAUUUUAUAUCAAAAUGAAGAGCAAUUGAUUUCAUAACACUAUUGAAUGAAAGAAUUUGACUUUCAUAUAAACAAUGUUGGAAUUAAAAUGGGAGAAUUGGCCUUUAGAUCCAUUUGACUUUGAUAAUUAAUAAAAAGUCAUUUAAAUACCUAUAAUUGAUUACAAGGAUAUGAGAUAGAAAUAGACAAAAAUACCCUUUUGACUUACACUCAUCAUUUUUGUCUUUAUACCACCCCUCUUUAUAUGUCACUUCUAUAAAAUUCUCCAUUAUUUAUUUUUUUAUUUUAUUUUUUUAAACUCUUUUAAGAAUAAUUGAAAAAUCAACAUUAUUUUCUAAACAAAAAUUAUAUUAAUGAUUCAAAAACUAUUUUGAAAAAAAAAUUUAAAUGAAUAAAAAAUUAUCUUUUACAUUUUAGAAGUAAAUAAUUUAAUGAUUAAACACCAUUUAAAAAUAAAUAUAUUUACUAUUUUUUUUCUUUAUACUAAAAAAGUAUUUUAAAGUUUAUUUUUUACUAUUAUAAAAUAAAAAAAAAUAAUUUUUUGAAUCUUUUUCCUUCUUUAUUUUAAUAAUUUUUUUAACAUAGACUUUUGGUAAUAAGUUAUAUGAAAUGUUGCAAAUUUUUUUAUUAAGGAAUUUUCUUAAUAAUUUGACUUAAUUGAAAAUUUAUUAAAAUAUAUACAAUAAAAUAAAUAAAUAAAAUAAAAAGGAUGGCUGAAGAGUUUUUAUUUUAAAUAUCCAAUUAAAAUAUUUUCGUAUUUAGAAAUGGAUUAUAUUAAUACAUAGUAUAAUAAAAAUUGAAUUUUUCUCAUAUAAAAGAAUUAAAUGGUAUAUUUACCAAUUUUAAAUUAAAACAGUAGUUAAAAAUGGUAUAGAUUAUAUUUGAGUUUGGUUUUAAAUUUUUUUUUUUUAGUUUUUACUUCUUUUAUAUUUGAAAAUAAUUUUUUAUUUUCUAUAUUGUGUCUUUUUUAAAAUAUGUUUAAUUAAAAAAUAAAGUUAUUUUUAAAAAUGAAAAUUGAAUACCUUGUUUAAUACUAUUUUUUUGUAUGAAAAUAAUAAAAAGAAUUAAAUUUUAUUUGUUGAUUAUUCUUUUUUAUUUUUUCUAUUAGUUAUUUUAAUAAUAAAAUAAAAAAUAUAAUAUGUUCACAAAUAAAUAAAUAAAUCGGUCAAUUAUAUAUUUUUUUUCACAAAAAUAUAAUAUGUUCACAAAAAAAAUUGGAUUUAAGUUUUUCAUUUUUUUUCUUAAUCAAACUACUGAAAUCAUAUUUAAUUUGUAUCAUUGUACAAAUGUAUUCACUAAUUGUAUAAGGGAAAUGUACUAAAUGUACAAGGAGUGUAAAAGAUUACCAUUUGUAAAAGAUUUUAAUCGAUUAUAAACCACUCAUUUAUCUUCCUUGUCAUCCAUGAAUUGUAUACCCAUAUCAUGCACUUUAUUUAACUCUCACAUAAAAAUUUCGAUACUUUCCCCAGUAAUGAUGUUUAAGGAAAAAAAUUUAACCCUAAUUCAUCAACUAUUUUCUUAGCUAAACCAUUAGAAAUAUGGUUAACACACGUACGUGGACACAUUACUUAAGAGGGAUAUAUUGCGUUAUUGUACAAUGGUAUUACACUAACUGUACAAGGGAAAUGUACUAAGUGUACAAGGGUGUACAAGACUACCAUUUGUGAAAGAUUUUAAUCAAUUCUGAAUCACUUCUUCAUUUUCCUUGUCACCCACGGAUUACAUACCCAUGUCAUGUACUUUAUUUAACUCCCACAUAGAAAUUCCGAUACUUUCCCUAGUAAUAAUGUUUGAGGGAAAAAAUUAGCCCUAAUUCAUCAACCAUUUUCUUAGCCAAACCAUUAGAAAUAUGGUUAACAUACCUACGUGAACACAUAACUUAAGAGGGAUAUAUUGCAUCAUUGUACAAUGGUGUUACACUAACUAUACAAAAGAAAUGCACUAAGUGUACAAGGGUGUAUAAGGUUACCAUUUGUGAAAGAUUUUAAUCGAUUUUGAGUCACUUCUUUAUUUUUAUUUUUUGUCACCUAUGAAUUGUAUAUGAAAUUUGCACUACUGUACAAGUGUGUUAUACUCACUAUACAAAGCAAAUGUACUAACUAUAUAAUACAAAAAUACUAACUGUACAGGGGGUGUACAAGACUACCUUCUAUGUAAGAUUUCAAUCAAUUCUGAACCAUUUUUUUUCUUGUCACCUAAGGAUUAUACACUUUCCCCCCACACAUUCCUUCACCUAAAAAUUAUUACAAUUUGAAUUUUUAAAUUUCAUCAUCCAAAAUUUGUAAUUGCAUAUUUCGUUUGAGUAGUUUUAACAAUUUUUUUUAGUACAUUUACAUCCCAUAUAAAGGAAAAUUAACCACAAUAUUUAGGUAUUACCCUUUUUGUGAAAUCAUGUAUGAGGAAAAAAAAAAAAAAGAGAAAAUUAUGAUACAUUUGCUUGACUUGAUGACAUUGUGUUUUAAUAAUUUAAACCAUGUCAAGUCCACAUCUAUUUCAUAUUUAAAAGGGUAUUUUAAUAUUUUUCAAAUUAUUAAAUUAUAAUACAUUAUUCAAUUAAAAAUUAAUUAUCACCAUUAGUUAAAAGAUGACCAUGUUACAAAAGAAUAUAUUAAGACAAUAUCUAUGUAUUAUCCAUAAAAUAGAUAAAAUAUUCAAAUAAUUGUCUAUAACCUUAAAGAUAUUUAUAUAAAAAAUAACUUAUAUAUAUAUAUAUAUAUAUAUAUAUAUAUUAGAUAAAAAAGAAUAAUACCAUUUUUUUAAGGUGUUUAAAAAAUAUUUAUUAUAUAAUUUGUAAGUUUGAAAAAAAAUACUUUAUGAGGUAUUUAAAAAAUAUUUACUUAAAAAAUGUAGUAAUAAUCAUUUUUAACCAUUGAUUUCUAAUAUUUUUUUUGAGAGAAAAAUAAUUGGUGGAAAUAGUGACACUUCCUUAACUAGGAAUUAAUUUGCAUGGUCCCAACAAUUAAUAUGUAAGAGAAAGGUAAAGUGAAUAAAGAGAGAGAGAAAAGGAAAGAGAGAAUGAGAGAGAAGUGGGAAGCCCAUUGUUUUUUUCAUUUUUGACAGCCAAGGGCAUUUCAGGAAAUUUUAAAAAGUAAUGUCCUUCAACUUAAUUUUCACUAUUCCAUUAGGUCUUGGGCUUAAAUAAGGAUUUUGGUCCAAUUUUCAAGCCCAAUUGGGGGUGUAAAACACAAUUCUCCCAAUUAAAAUCUGAUAAAAGAAAUAAUAAUGCAUAUAGUAAAGUUAUUUUAUUGAAAAAAUUAAUAUAUAAAUGAUAUAAUUUAUUACAUUCAUAUGUAAAGUUUAAAAAUACAUUUAAUAUACAAUUAUAUUUGGGAUAUAUGAUUAUUUUCUUGUUAAAAAAUAUUUGUAAUUUCGUUUAUAAAUUCAUAUAUAUUUUUGUAUUUAACCCAUUAUAUUUUUAUUUUCAAUAACAAUUAAAUAGAAUUUAAGAAUAAAAUAAUUAAAAUUAGUUAAUUCAUUAAAAAUUUAUUUUAAAGUUUUAUUUUUUAUAUAUACACAACAAUUUAGGAGAAAAUGUAGUGUAUAUAUAAUAUGUAGGCUAAUACAUGUAAUGAAGGCAUGGUUGCCCAAGUGAAUGGAGGUAUGUUUUUGUUGAGGGGUUUCUACAAAGUACAUCAUUUUUUAAAAAUAUUUAUUAAAAUAUUGUUGUCCCAAACUAUUUGUAAAACUACGACAAUUUGCUCUAAGUGGGAUUCCACGUAGACCUUGUAUGUUGAAAAGAUGAGUUCAAUGCAAAAUGAGAAUUUGUCUUUUCAACCACUAUUUUGAAAGUCGGACUUAAUUGGCUUGUUUGACCGGUUUGAUAAUCAAUAAUAGACUUUCUGAUUUAGCCCUCUUUAUUAAAUCAAUGGACAUUUGAACCGGCCCCAAGCCACUCGAAUCGGUGGUUGGAUCGAUGAACCACUGAACCUGGCGGUUCCAAUUGAAUCGAAUGGUUCAAUUCCCUUGCUCUUCUUUUCAUUAAAUGGGCCCAAUUUAAAACCCAAUCUCUCCUUAUUUCUUGAUUCAAAAGAGGCCUAAACAAAGCUCAACCUUCCAUUUAUUGGCAUUUAGUAAAAAUGCAACCUAAACACCACUUAAUGCGCCAUGCCUCAAUUCACAUGCUAUAGACAUGGCUUGCUAAGUUAUCAAUAUAAGGACCUUUUUUUCUUAUCCACAUAUGAUGUGGGAUUCAUGAUUUUAAGUAUAAGAAAAAAAAAAAAGGAAAACUCACUUGAAGGAUUUGAACUCUAGAGCAGCUGAGCAAAAUACAUGGAAGACCACUUAGGCUAUGUGCACUUUGUUGUUUAGAAUGACAAAUAAAAAAAUGUAGUUAAAAUUAAAUAAUUUUUUUUAUUUUUAUUUUGAAUAUAUUGACAUUUAAAUAUUAUACAUAUUUUAUUUAAUAAAAUUCAAAAAUAUUAAUAUAUUUAUACUUAUUUUUGAUAAUAUCAAAGAUAAAAAAUUUAUAUUAUUGAUUUUUAAUUAUUUAUAUAUAUUUUAAUUUUUGUUAUUAUUUUUAAUUUUAAUAAUAUAUAAAUUAUAUAUUUAUGAUAUCACUGGUUCGAUAGCGAUUCGAUCAUCGGUUCAACCACUGAACCGUAUUAUUUGAGUAACUUUUUCGAUUCAAUGAUUGAUUCAGCUCCAAAAACAUUGUUUUCAACAAAAGAGUUCAGUUUGAAAUUCAAAAUUCAUCUAUUGAAAAGAGAGUUCAGUGUAAAAUGAGAACUCGUCUUUUCAAUGGACAAGUUCAAUGUGAAAUUUAGAACUCGUCUAUUAAAAAGACAAGUUCAACGUAAAAUUAGAACUCGUCUUUUUAACGGACAAGUUUAGUGUAAAAUUUAGAACUUGUCUAUUGGAAAGACGAUUUCAUUGUAAGUUAUAGAGAAUGUGGCCUUCAUAUGGUUCAUAUUGUGUUAUAGUUACGUGAGUUUGUUUUCGGAAUUUAUGCAAUUAAGUUUGUUUCCAAAUCUUAGUUGAAGUCCAAUCCAAAUUGAGUUUGAAUUGAAAAUACUUAACUUGAAUUCAAUCCAAAUAUUAAAAUUGAUUCAUCCAAACUCAUUUAAGUGUUUGUGCUAUCAUGGAAUAUCGGAAAAAGAUGGGAGAUUAGACCUGUAACUAGUAGCUAAUGUUAACAAAAAAAUGUAUGAAAGAAAUGCUCCUUGAAUAUGCACAUGCUAUCAUCUAUUAGAUUAUUUGAAACCCCAUGGUUGAUCACCUGUUUACAAUAUUUGAAUAAAACCAUUCUUUAUGUGUAUGUAUAUAUAUAUAUAUAUAUAUAUAUAUAUAUCUUGAACAAAAAUUAUACAUAAUAGAUAAUUAAACAGAAAAGUUAAACAUUAAAGAAUCCAUAUUCCUAGCUACCUUCCAAAAUUUUCUGAAUAGCCUCUUAUGAUCAAAGCUCUUUGCUUUCCCAAGAUCAAUGACUAUAAUAUUUUUUUGCAAGGAGGAACAAUGACCUUCUCAAGUCUUUGUCUUGGUGGAAAAAUAGGAUUUUCAGCUAAGCAUUAUGGCCACAACAAAUAUACAAAAACUACACAUAUAUAAAUAUGCAAAAGCUACUUCAAAACAGAUUAGAAAAACAAAAGAGAAAAAAAUAACAAAUUGGAAUGGUUGAGUUACAAAGUAAAUGAGAAGAAAGAAUCUCACAACAUAACCAUACUUUUAAAUGUCAUAGCUCCAGCAAGGCUGCUAGUAACAAGUGAUCGAUUGAAAACAAAAAACACAACCUAUUCAAAUUUGAUAGAACUUAGAAUUCCAACACAAUGUCAAUACCAACAAAACAACAGUAAAUCUUACAACUCAUUUCCAUAAUGCGAAUACCAAUUAUCAGAAGAUAAAAUUUAGAACCAUCUCAGAGCAAUGUUGAGUGAACACCAACACAAGAAUUCCAUGCUCAUGUCAUCAAUAAUCCAAUACACACUAACCCUACAAUAGUUCCCAAUAACAAUAUCAGUCAACUGAUACACAAUCAAUAGGAACAUUUGAGGCUAUAACAUUAUUUAAUCCCAAAUAUUAUUCACUUUUGGAUAUUCAUUAGAGAACCAUUGCAAUACUAGAUUGAAAUAAAUCUUAGGAAUUAAGGAAAAUCUUUAAUACGACCUUAAUAAUCUUAAUGGAAUAAACAAUUGUCUAACCCAAAAAAUAGUACCAGAACUAGAUUUUUAAUUUUUGUUGUUACCAUUUCAAGUAUAAACAACAACAAGGCAACAUGUCCCCAAUAUCCCAAAGCUUUGUAACAAUAAACUACGUAACAAGUUUUAGUAAUUGUUAGAAAUACUCAGCAUGUACGUCCUUAAUAUCCCAGAGCUUUGUAACAGUAAACUACGUAACAAGUUUUAGCAAUUGUUGGAAGUACUCAACCUGUAUGUCCCCAAUGUCCAAGCAUGGAUUUCUUGUCUUUAAUCUUAGUCUGUCCAUGUAUUGGCCUUCAUUCUAACAUUUACAAACCUCUAAAAUUCUAAUUUAUCAAACUUUUAUUUUGGAGGAAUAUUUAAAUGAUUGAAUUUAAUUAAAAUUUGCUCUGUCAAUUCAAUAUUUUAUUUGGAUUCAAUAUGAUUCAAUUAGUUAUCUUCUUGGUAGUUAUUUUUAAUUAGUAUUUAACAUUAGCAACACAGGCAUAACACAUAAUCAUGGUUUUACAAUGAUGUUUGCAAUAAUUUAGAAAGCUAAUAAAAUCUGGGUAGAAAAAUAAUUGCUUUCAAACCCAAGGAGAAUUCCAUUUCAAAUGACACAAGCAUAACCUUAAACAAUAAAUGUAUCUCAACCUAUCAUAAGCCAUAAGAAGCCUUAGAUAGGCUCUACCUACUACUAUUAACAAGAACAUAAAAUAAACAUUUCUAGUAAAGCAUUAAAGAAAACCUAUAAUAAUGAAUCACAAAAGAAAACACUUUUACCUGACAAAGGAUGUUUCCUUAGGUGAGUAAUCUUUAGACGACAAAUGACAGAGAUGUAAUCAACCUCUUAUGAUCUCCUAUAAAGACAAAAUGAUAUUAGCAACUACCAUCUCAAUAAGAAAAUAGAGUAUGAAAAAAACCAUCAAUUAACCAAAGAAAUAGUCCACUUCUUGUCAAAAAUUAAACUAAACAAUUAAACUUGUUGUUGCAUAGGUAUUUUCUGAAAGGGGAUAAGGGAAGAAGAGAACAAAAUGAUGCAAAUGGGGUUUUUUCAAAAGAGAAAUAAGGAUUUUCUAAAACCUUGAUGAUGCUUAUGUAGCACCCAUGUGGCAAAAUGUGCCAUAUUUCUAUCAAUAUUUUUCAAUGUGCAUUCUUUUAAAAAUAUUAUAUUUUAAUAAAAAAAUCCAAUGUUGUUGAGUACAUAACUAGAUAAUCCCAUCACAACUUUAUGUCGAAUUAGUGGAAUUAGCUAUGUAAAUACUGAGACAAGAAAACAUACACAAACCUUUCAAAACCCCAUUAUUACAAAAUACCAGAUCAAAUUUAAAAAUUAGAAAAGCUAUUCUUCAUGAAAAUAUUCCUUAAUAAAUUUUCAAAAAACAUGUGUAUUAUGUUCAUAAGUAUAAUAGGAAAACUGAUGGACUAUUUGGAUUAAAACGAGUAAGAAAAGUAAUUUUUUCAUCAUUAAUGAAAUCUGAAAAUGGUAUUUGUCACAUAGUUUGAUGUUGUUCCAUAGAAACGACUAUCUUGGUUCAACAACCAAAUUAGUUCACAUUACAAACCAUGUACCAUUUGUAAACACCCCUUCCCCCCCUUUUUUUUUCUCCAGUCAUUCCAAUAAAUUUCACCACUACCCUUCCACCAAAUUUGUAAAGAAUUCAUCAAUUUUUCAACUAAAUAACAAAAAUAAACUUCAUUAAGUUGAAUUUGACAUUUGAGUUAAAAUCUUCAAACUUUCAAAUUUUGUUGUACAAAUUCUAAUCCAAAUUUAGUGAAUUUUAAAUCGAUGAUUCUAUAGUUCAUCUAACUCAAUCAAGAUUUCAAUUUUUGACUAAUAAUGAUGUGAAUUCAACUUUAAAUGCAGAAGCUUGAUAAACUGACUAUCAAAUAAUUACUCAAACCAAAACCAAAAAACCCCCUUUUGGAAUGAAAAACGAAAUUUCAACUCAACAAAUUGGCUAUCUCAUCUUCAAACCAAAAUUUUUCCUUCCAAAACAUGUCUACCCAAAAACCCAACUAGGCUAGAAUCAUCCAAAAUAUUUGCUACUUCACAAUCUUUAAAUUUCAUUAAGCUAAUAUGAAGGCAAUUAUUUUUUAAAUUUUCAACACCCAAUACCAAGCUUCAAGAAAUUUGAUAAAAUGAAAAGAAAUUUAAAAUUUGAAGAAACCUAGAAUUGAAACAUCACAAAUACACAACAUUCAAUGAAUUAAAGAAAUGCAAGGGUUUUAAUGGAAAAAAAAUAUAAUAAAGUUGACUAAGCAUGGAAGACAGACCUUCACUAAGUCUUUACCUAAUAAUGGAUGGGAUUGUCUUGCCACCCCACUCUCAUUUGCACAUUUCUAGAACCCUCCACUUGCAUAUAAGGGGAAAACUUAAAUCACGAAGGUUGAGAUACAUACCAUGCUUAAAACCCUAAAUUUGAAAAGUUUCAGAGAUAAAUACAGAGCUAGCUAGAAAAAAAAAAAAGAAAAAAUUCAAAAACAAAAUUUUCAAGCUUACUUUGUUGACAAUUAGCAAUGGUGAAAUUUUUUAGGAAGAUUGACAGUGGAGUGUUUGAAAUGAAGGUGAGUUGAGUUUCCUUUCUAUGGAGAAUAAAGAAAAAGAGAGUGUUGGAAGAAUGGGAUUUUUAGAAAAAAAUUAUGUGGUAUCCAUGUGGUACCUAUGUGGCAAAAUUUAUUGUAUUUCUAUCAAUAUUUUUUAAAGUGCAUUUUUCUAAAAGAACAUUUUGUUAAAACAUUAUAUUUUAAUAAAAAAAAACCCAUGAUAGAACCUAUUCCAACCUAGCCUUGCAAUUCUCAUAUUUGACCUUCAACUUUGACCAUGCUUGAUGCCACAUAUGGUAAAUUCAUACAUUUUGUAGGACCUCAGAUGCUACCAACUCUCCUAAAAGAAAUUACUAUUAGGAAAGGCGCAUACCCUAACCUUAUAGUGCGUUCACCCAAGCGCUCAUGACGAACACAAGGGGUUGAUGGACGCAACCAACCCUCCGAUCUACCAACAAUCUCCCCACCCCCCUAGCGACACCUUCGAACCCGUGACCUCGGCUCUGAUAAUACUUGUAGAACCUUAGACGCUACCAACUCUCCUAAAAGCAAUUGCUAUUAGGAAAGGCACAUACCCUAACCUUAUAGUGCAUUCACCCAAGCGCUCAUGACGAACACAAGGGGAGUUGAUGGACGCGACCAACCCUCCAAUCUACCAACACCUUUUAUCAAAUCAUUAAUUGAAAAUAAAUUGAAACUUCUUUUUUUUUUAAUAAAUAAAUUGAAAUCACUAAUUCAAAAUUAUUUUUAAUAAAAUCAUUUGAAAUUUCUCGAAAACUAAUUCUUUCAAAUAUUUUUUUUCUAAUUAGUUCAAUAAAUCAAUUUGCAUAAUUUUAUUGUCAUUCAUUUUGUAUAUUCUUGUAAUUUUAUUUUGUCAUGAUCUUUGUGUAUAUUGUUUCGUUUCUUUAAUCUUGGUAUCCAUGAUUAAUUAAUUAAUUGCCAUAAUUUCCUUAAUUUGUUUAGUAGAGACCAUACAUAUACGAGCUUAGAAGGGUGUUACGGUUCACCACCAUACCUUCUAAAUAGGUAACCUGACCCUCGGAUCCAGAUUCUAUUUUUGCAGACACGUCUUUUCCAAAUAAGGAGUCACACAAUGUUUUCUUUCUUAUUUUGUUUUCCCUUUAAAAAAAAACUAAAAUAAGUGGCGACUUCAAGUAUUUUUCAAAAAAUCAAAUUUUCACCAAAUAAAAAGCGAGUAUCGUCCUCGAGUGGGGACACACAUGAAAAAUAAGGGGUCCACAAAUGUGAUAUACAUAUCAUAGAUAUCAAAUAAAAUAUGUAUAUAUAAAAAUUAAAUAAAAGAAAGAGAAAUGAAAAUCAUAUCAUAUUUCAAUGUUCAAUAAUUUUUAAAAAAGUAAAAAUGAUAUUACGUAGACCCUUUAUUUUGUUCCUAGCACACAUUUUUAUUAUUAUUUUUCUUUUCACCCUAUUUUUUUUAAGUGCGUGUUUAUGACUUUCUUUUAUUCAAUUUUUCAUCAUUCCUUAUCGGUUCAUGUUUACUCGACUCAUUACUGAUUUUUGAGCUAUAUUUUUUGAUAUCAUUGGAGGAUUAUUUCGAUUUGAGCAUGAUUAUUGGAGGCCCUUUAGGAUUAGUUUUUUUGAGUUUGUAUUUUUAGGAUUUUAGAGCUUUUGGUGUCUUUAACGCCCUUUUUUUUGGGCUUUUGUAGGGUUUUUUUCCCCACUUUUAAGGAAACUUUUGGGGAAGCCUCUUUUUUCUGUUUGAGGGAGACAAGUGGUAAAAAGAAGAGGCUACGAGUGGGCUAUUUGAGAAGGAAGAUUCUCUUUUUGGUUAAGGGGUUGGUUAGAGGCUUAAGCUACAAGAAAAGAAAAUAAUAGAGGAAGUAGGAAUAGAGCAAUAGAAAGAGAGUUUGAAACCGGGCACAUCUUGCUCUAGGGGAGACCUACCAGGUGUGGACACUAUGAUUUUCUUGUUUCUCAUUCUUUUCACUAUUUUACUCUAUUUUUUUAUUGAUUUUUGGGCAUUAUCCUAUUGACUAGGAGUGGACAUUAUGGGUUACAUGUUUGUUCCGAUUGAUCUCUAAAUUGUUUUGAUUGUGUUCUACUAUGACUUUUAUUUUUAUUUGGUUUUGUUGGGGUUAGCUUGGCUGUUUAUUGAUUUCUUUAUAAGAUGCUUGCCACUAUGUCUUCGGUUCAUUUUAAAAAUCCAUUUUGUUCAUCCCACACAGUUUUUCAAGCUCAUUGAUUACCCAUCAGAUGAAGUUAUAUAUAAUUUUUUUUGGUCAUAUUUAUUCUUGCUUUGUCUCUAUUUUUCCUUCAUUUUGUAUUUCUCUACUUCUGGUCUGCAAUGGAUGAGGGCUUUUUAGAACUCUACUAUCAAUGCUGAUGGUGAUGACUUUGCCAAUAGUGAGGUUGAUCAUUUUGGUGCUAAUGAAAGCAACAACAUGGAUUCUGGCAUAUUUGGGACUACUUAUCAUGGAAAAUGGUGGAGAAUAGAUGUUGCUAUUAAAAUAAUAAAGAAAAGGGUCGCAGGGAGGGUGAGUGAAAGUCUUUUCACUUUGCUUCAAGAAAGGUAGAUGGGUAUUAUGAUUUUGAUACCAUCUUUAGGUGUCAUCAACAUGAAGGGUGAGUGGGUAGACCUAUAAGGUUCAUUGAAGUAGCUAAGGAUAUUGAAAUUGUGAAGAGAUAAAAAGUUUUGGUAUCUGGUUAUAGAAUUAGUUACACACUAUUACUUGUUAGUGACUGUUAUGGAAUUGGUUACACAUUGUUAGAAGUAGUUAGAUAUGGAGAAGGUUAUUUAAGUUAUGAACUCUAUUUUUUCAUCAAUAAGAAAUACCCAUUUUAUCAAUUUUGAUAUUGUAUCAAAGCCAUUCUAAAUGAUUGGAGAGAAUUCAUUUUCUUCUUCAUUGGAGAGCUCUCCUGCCAUGGAGAAAUUUGUUCUGGGUGUAUUUGCACACUAUUUGUCAAUCAAAUUGAAUGAUAACAAUUUUCUUCUCUGGAAACAGUAAGUUGGAGUGUAAUACAAGGUUACAAACUACAAAAAUUUAUUGUGGAAAAUGAAGAUCAACCAGAAAGUUUCUUAUGGCUAGAGAUCAUGUUUAAGGAAAGAUCAAUCCAGAGUAUCUUGACUGAAAACAACAAAAUCAAUUGCUCUUUUCAUGGCUAAUCUUUUCAAUGAAAAAAAGCGAUGCUCAUGCAAAUGGUUGCGUGUGAAACUUCACGUCAAAUCUAGAAAACUCUUGAGGUGUUCUUCGCUUCACAAACCAAAGCCAAGAUAUCAUAGUUCAAGACUAGGCUCCAUAACAGAAAGAAAGGUGAUUUAUUGGUAAAUGAUUAUCUGUUAAAGAUUAAAUCCCUAGUCGAUCAGCUAACUUCUGUUGGAGAUGUUCUUGCAACUAAAGAUCAUAUAGAUGCAAUCAUUUAUGGAUUGUCUUCUGAGUACGAUACAUUUGUUGUUUUAGUAAAUUCAAGAAAUGAUUCGUAUACAGUAGCAGAGAUUGAAUCAAUGUUAUUAGCACAAGAAAGCAGGAUUGAAAAACAUUUUAAGGAGCUUGAUUUAGCAAAUCAAGUGAAUAUGGUGAAGAUUUUUAAUAAUCAACUGUCCCAUAAAAAGUUUAAUGGGAAGGAUAAGGUGGUUUUCAACGCAAUAUUAUUGGACCAAGUAAUUAAAGAUCUCAAAAUUUCAAUCCUACUUCAGGUAGACAAAAUCAAGGAAAUGGAAGAAGUGGUAGGCAACAAUGGAAGCCACAAUUUUAGUUGUGUGGUAAAAUUGGACAUGUAGUUGGAAAAUUCUACCAUAGGUUUGAUCUAACCUUCAUUCCAAUUCAAUUUCAGUAAAAUGAAGCUCUACAAAUGUCUGCCUAGAUGGUUUCUAUGGUGGCUACUCCUAAUGUUGUGAUAGAUAAUUGUUGGUAUCCCAACUUUGGUGUAACCAAUCACUUCACACCAGAUCCCAAUAAUCUCAUUAUUCAAGACACAUGCAAUAAAUUACCAAAUUCAUAUGGGAGAUGGUAUUGGUUUUGCAAUUCAACACAUUGGUUAGUCAAAAUUUCCUUCUCAAUUCUCAUAUAAACUUCUAGUUCUAAAAUAGCUUCUUCAUGUCCCAUCUAUUUCGAAAAAUCUUUUGAUUUUCUCUAAAUUUGCUCAUGAAAAUAACGUGUUCUUUGAGUUCCAUUAUAAUCAAUGUUUUGUUAAAGACUAGGUCACAAGAAUUGUCCUACUAUAGGGUAAAGUAGUCAAUGGAUUGUAUGUUUUUUAUAGCUCAAGCAUUCCACUCAAGCCCCAAUCACUCAAGUCCUCGUUAGCUUAUCAUGUUCCAUGUUUUCCUAUAAAUCCAAAAUGAAUGUAUGUGCAAGUUGCAACAACAACCUCCAAUGUUUCAAGUGAUCCUAUUUUUCAACUUUGGCACAAUAAGUUAGGCCACCCUAAUGCUAAAGUAAUUAAAAAAGUCUCAUCUCUUUGUAAUAUUCCAACUAUCAAUAAAGACUUGCCUGAUUUUUGUAAUGCUUGUUGUCUAGGAAAGCAUCAUAAAUUUCUUUUUCUCAAUUCUACUAUUGAGUACACUAAACCUCUAGAACUCGUACACUUAGACUUGUGAGGACCUUCCCCUGUUUUGUCUUCUAAUGGCUAUAAAUACUAUGUUCACUUUGUUGAUUCUUUUUCUUGUUUCACUUGAGUUUAACUACUUAAAAAUAAAUUUGAUACCCUACAAACAUUUAUUAACUUCAAAACUCAGGUAGAGUUACAACUAGAUUGUUCUAUCAAGAAAAUCCAAACUGAUAAGUACCAAGCUUUUACAAAUUAUCUUGAGUCUAAUGAAAUAAUUCACCCAGUUGCUUAUCCUAGAACCCAUGAAUAAAAUGGUCUUGCUGAAUGCAAACAUAGGCAUAUGAUUGAAACAACCUUGACACUCUUAGCUCAUGCCUUUUUACCUCUAUGAUAUUGGGAUGAAGCUGUGAGAACAUCAAUUUUUCUUAUCAACAAUUUUCCUUCCUCAAUACUUUCUAGUCAAAUUCCUCUCCUAGUUUUGUUCAAACAACAAGUAGAUUAGUCCAUGCUGAAAACGUUUGACUACUCCUAUUUUCUAAACCUUAGACUCUAAAACAAUCCUAAGUUCCAAUUUUGGUUUGUGGAAUGUACUUUCUUGGGCUAUAGUAUCAAACAUAAAGGUUUCAAGUGUUUAUAUCCUCAAGGUCAUAUCUAUAUAUCCAGAGAUGUUCAAUUCAAUGAGAAAUAAUUUCUUUUUUCAAAACCAAGUCAAUUACUUCUCUUUUAUUCCUAGUUUAACACCUACUUCUCAUUCUGCUCUUAUUCCCAUUCAUUCCUCAAUUCUGUUUGUACCCUCACCUUCCACUUCUUCUAUUACAAACACAAUUGUUGACCAAUCCAAUUCUAAUUAGACCAAUACUAAUCUUGUUUAAGACGUAUCUUGAAAUGUUCAUUCCAUGAGAACCGGAUCUAAGGUUGGAAUAUUCAAAUCUAAAGUCUUUAUGGCUUCUAAAGAACCAACUUCAAUUAAAGAAGCUUUACAACAAGAUCAUUGGAAAGCUACUAUCAUUGAGGAGUAUCCAACACUUGUUAAGAACAAGACUUGGUCACUAGUACCUCUACUACCUAAUAGGAAAGCAAUUGGUUGUAAAUGGGUGUUUAAAGUGAAUGAAAACCCAACUGGUAGUAUACUGAAGUAUAAGGCAUGAUUGGUAGCAAAUGAGUUUAUCCAACUUUCAAGUUUUGAUUUUACUGAGACUUUUAGUCCUUUAGCCAUGCUUACUACAAUAAGAAUUGUUCUAACAAUUGCCUUAUCAAAGUGUUGGUAUGUAAAACAGUUGGAUAUGAAUAAUGCAUUUUUAAAUGGAUAUUUAUAAGAGAAAGUGUGUUGGUUGCAUAAAGCAUUAUAUGGUUUAAAGCAAGCUUCAAGAGCCUAGUUUGAAAAACGAAGGGAUGCUUUAGUUUCUUUGGGGUCUAUGUGCUCCAAAUUUGAUCAUUCUCUAUUCAUUAGACAUUUUGCUAGUUGUACCAUGUUUGUUUCAGUGUAUGUUGAUGAUAUACUUGUGAUAGGAAAUUCUAAAGUUGAGAUUUAAGCCUUGGUAUAACAACUCAAUACCAAUUUUACAUUAAAGGACCUUGGUGAAGUUGACUACUUAUUGGGAAUUCAAGUUAAAAAUACCAAUGUUUUCAGAACCGGACUAGUCAUUGAAUCGGAAAAGUUACCGGUUCACCUUUCACUGGUCGGACCGGUGGUCUAACCGCGGUUGAAUCGGUGAUGUGAUAAAUAUAUAAUUUAUAUUUUAUUAAAAUUAAAAAUAAUUUUAAGAAAUUUAUAUAAUAUUAAAAUUAUAGCAUUUCAUUUUUUUUUGUAUUUGAUAUGCCUAUUAAAUGAUAAACAUAAAUAUAAAUGUAUUAAUAUAUGAAAUUUUAUUAAAUAAAAUAUGUAUAAUAUUUACAUAUGAGAAGAAAAUUAUAACAUUUAAUUUUAUCUACAUAUCUAUGCAUUUUUUAUUUUAAAAUUUUAAAAAUAUUAUAUUAAUUAAUUUAUAUUAUUUUCAUAUUUAUUGUUAAUAAUUAUUAUAAAAAUAAAUAUGAAUAUAAAUAUUUAUAUUUGCUUAAAUAUUUUAUAUUAUAAAAAUUUGCAAAGAGCAUUAAUAUAAAUUAUUAGUUCCUAUAUCUAUCAAAGGAGUUGUGUAGCAUAAUGGUUGGCUAUUUCUUUUAUAAACCUUGGAUCCGAAAAUUUAAUGAGUUGAUUGAGUUCUAUAAAUAACCCACCCCUAAAGGAAAAAACAUUCUGCUCAAUGGGUUGCCUGUGGGUGGGAAGAUUGUAGGCCCAGACAAGGCCCAAGAGUGUUUUGGUCAACCCACAUGUUAACCGAACGGUUCGUCCGGUUCAACAGUUCAAUUGCUGGUUCGUCCGGUUUACUGUCUGUCCAAAGUCUCUUUCGGCUCAAAAGUUGAACCAGACCGAAUCAAGGUCUGGUCGGCGGUUCAAUUGGUUGAACCGACCAGUCCGGUCCAGUUUUUAAAUCAUUGAAAAAUAAUGAAGAUGGUUUACAUUUAUCACACACUAUGUAAUAGAUCUUUUGUGUAAGACAAAGAUGUAGUAUGCUAAAGAGUUGGUCAUACCUAUGUCUAGAAGAGAAAAAUUGUCCAGCAUUGGAAGUGAUCCAGUAGGCAAUCCAUAACCAUAUCGAAGCAUAGUUGGAGCCCUACAAUAUGUGACAAUUACACGACCAUAACUUGCUUACUUAGUCAACAUGGUUUGUCAGUUUAUGCAAAAUCCUUUGGAGUCUUAUUGAAAGGUAGUAAAAAGAUUCUUAGAUUUCUAAAGGGAACACUUGAUCAUGGUUUACAUCUUAAGAGAUUAAUGAACUUAGAGAUUAUAGGGUUUUGUGAUGCAGAUUGGGCUUUAGACCUGGAUGAUAGGAGAUCAACUACUGGCUUCUCUGUAUACCUUGGUUCAAAUUUGAUAUCUUAGAAUUCAAAGAAGCAAAACAUAGUCUCAAGGAGUAGCACCAAAAUUGAAUAUAAGAGUCUAGCUACUUUGUUAGUAGAUGUUACUUGGACACAAUCAUUGCUGACACAAUUACAAAUUCCUCAAGGUCGUGUUUCGGUACUAUGGUGUGAUAAUUUGAGUACUGUACUCAUAUGAGCAAAUCCUAUUUUACAUGCUUGCACAAAACACAUUGAGUUGGACUUAUAUUUUGUGCAUGAGAAAGUUAUGAAGGAGUUGGAUGUUAGACAUAUCUCAUCACAAAAUCAGACUGCAAACAUUUUGACCAAAGCUUUAUUUAAUAAUCAAUUUUUGUUGUUAAAGAACAAACUAAGAGUUGAACAAUUAUCCACUCUUAGUUUGAGAGGGGUUGUGAAGAGAUAGAAGGUUUUGUUAUCUAGUUAUGGAAUUAGUUACACACUGUUACUUGUUAGUGACUAUUAUGGAAUUGGUUACACGUUGUUAGAUGUAUCUAAAUAUAGAGAAGUUUAUUUAAGUUGUGAACUCUAUUUUCUCAUCAAUAAGAAAUACCUAUUUUAUCAAUUAUGAUAGAAAUCAAUCAAUGUUGAGGGUGUUAUGGUUGUUUGCUGUGUUGGGAACCCUAAAUAACUCCAUUCCCAUGCCCUGAAUCUCAUAGGGUGCAUGCAUCUAUCCUUAAAGCUCUAUAGAUCAAACACAAUAGAAAGUAAUGGCUUUAAAAAUCAUUAUAAAAUAAAUAUCUAGAGAAAAAGUGCUCAUAUGUGGAUUUGGAUGUUCCCAAAUCAAUUCCUUGUGGUGAAGAACAUGCCUAGAAAAACUAGAAAUCUUUCCGCAUGUUGUUACCCAUGUACGCAUUUAUGGACCCACAUUUUUCAUGUGCGUCCCCACUCAAUGGCGAGACUCAUUUUUAUUGGUGAAAAAUUAGUUUUGUAAAAUUUGGAGUCACCAUUUAUUUUAUUUUAUUUUAAAAGGGAAAAUAAAACAAGAAAGAAAACCCUAAAGAAGUGGCUCCAUAGUUUUGGAAAAACAAGCUUUGAAAAAAAAAACCCGAGUCUUGAUUUGGGGAUCAGAUUACCUAUUGGGAAGGUACCUCUAAGAGGUAGCACCCUUCUAAGCCCUAAAGAGGUCUCUAAUGACUAAGUUGAGGGAAAAAUGGUAAUUAAUCAAUUGAUUGAGGGUACCUAGGUAGGCUAAGGUGAUUUCAAAACUAGCAUGACAAAAAAAGAAAUCAAAUCACAAUCGCUAAGGAAGAUUAGGAUGUGUACCUGGACUGCCUCUGAAGAGCUAUCAUAAAACAUCAAAGUUAGUGUAGAAAUAUAGUACACAAUAUGCAUUUUUAUCAAAGAUAACCAAAUGAUCCAACGUAUAUUAAGGCAAUCAAGCAAGGGCAUAGUACACAAAGAUAUGAUAUUCGUGGAAUUUUGAAAAUGGGGUGAUGGAGAGCGUACCUAGAUAACGAACUGAGCCAUAAAAUGAGGAACAAGGUUAACUCAAUAAUAGGUGUAAAAUCAUCUCAUGUAUUCACGAAGAGGAAACACAAUCAAUCAAAUAUCAAACAAACAAUAUUAAAGAAAAUAUCAUAGAUGUUGGGCCCCCACCAAAGCCCUAAUUAAUUUCGCAUGAGUUGAUUCUAUGAAUUCCAUUGUUUGGAAUUAUGAAGUUUGUUCAUGCUUGUUGAAAAUUGAGAAAAUCAAGAAAAUGGUUGAAAGUCAAAGAAAAUAGUGAAAAUGCAUGCCGAAAGGAAAAAUGGCGGCAAAAGAUUAUUGAAAUCUAGAUUUUAUUGCCUAAAGAAGUUUCGAAGAUGAUUAUCUAAAAUCAGAGUUAUUUGGAUGAAGAUGAUUUUGAAAACAUUAUUCAAAAUGGGUAAAAUCACGAGGAAAACAAGAGGGGUGCAAAAGGAAGAGGGUAGUGUGCACCAAAGUGGCCAUGUAGGAGUGAGACUUGGGGGUUUGGCUGUGGCUGGAUUGCUGAUGGUUGUGUGAAGAGGCCUUUGUAUAUUGCUCGCAUGUUUGGAAAAGAACUAGCCAUAUUUAUUUCAGAGCAUGUGCUCACUUGCUGCCACUCAUUCUUGAGUUUCAAGUCUUUGCUUAGAAGUUCAUUUGAUCCAUUAGUUUUUUCACAAUUUUCUUUUGGAUUAUUUUGUAGCUCAUAUACUUUGUUUUCCUGCUUAUCACGAGUGUUAGAAAAAUGAGGCUAAUCCAACCUAUGGUACUCACCCUAGAGAAGGGGGGAGGGGGGGGGGGGGGGGGGGGGGGGGGNNNNNNNNNNNNNNNNNNNNNNNNNNNNNNNNNNNNNNNNNNNNNNNNNNNNNNNNNNNNNNNNNNNNNNNNNNNNNNNNNNNNNNNNNNNNNNNNNNNNGGGGGGGGGGGGGGGGGGGGAUGUGAGAAUAGGGUGAUGGUCUCUUUUUGCAAAUUUAAACUAAGUGAAUGUAAGAGAUAAUUAUAUGCAAGUAUAUAAUAAGCAAUAUAAAGACAAUUGCAUAUAAAUUAAAGAGUAGGGAAGAGAGAAUGCAAACACAAGAGUUUAUAGUGGUUCGACGCAACCCGACCUACAUCCACUCUCCUCUAGCUUCAAUCCCAAGCUUGAGGUUCCACUAAUUCAAGGUUUCCAAACCAAACCUUCAAUCAAUACAAUUGGAUUAUUGUUCCAAUUCACCCUCUUGGACUUUUGGCUCCAAGCACCUUUUACACUUCUCAAGAGAUAUCCCACUCUUGAAAAACUUCUUCUCAAAGAUUUACAAAUAAAUGAUCUCACAAAAAUCAUAGCACAAAAACUUUAAGCUCAAAUGAUACAAGAAAACUAGGAUUGAAAGGUGCACUAAAGAUAUGCAAGUUUUAGAACAAUGGUGCACUAAAAAACACUCUUCCAAGGCUCAAAUAUAUUCAAGAAAGGUUUGGGAAGGUUAAAAAUUUUUAAACAAUGAAGAUUGGAGCCUUUUUGUAGAAGAGAAAAGCCAAACUAGCCGUUUGGGGGUUCGACCGGUCGAGUUAGGGGUCAACCAGUUGACUAGCCGUUAGCAUUAAAUCUUGGCAGGUGACUGUUGGGCCUUAACUGGACCUCAACAGGGAAGAGAAGGCCACUGGGAUUCAUUGAUAGAGCAACUUUUGAGACAUAGAGAGUUCUUUCAAUUCAUAUUUUUCAGAGGUUUUUCAUGAUGCAUCGGUUUCUAACCCAUUAAUUUCAGUGGAUGAUUGAUUUACUGGUUUUUUUAGCAGGGUGAGUACCCUAGAUACUAGGGCAUAUUUCUCUUCUUGAGUUCAGUAGUCCGAACCUUGGCAUUUUGAGUAUACGGCUUUGAACCCAUUUACUUCCUAUUCACUUUUGAGUUGGUCUUCUCUAUUUGUUCCUUCUAGGCCCUAAGCCUUGUAGCCCUAAGUUAUUCUUCUUCCCUUAGGCCCUGAGCUUGGUAGCCUUGAGCUAUUAUUUCUCUCUAUACCCUGAGCCACGUAGCCCUGAGCUAUCUUUCUUUUUUUAGGCCUUGAGCUUGGUAGCCUCGAGCUAUCCGUUCCUUCUAAGCCUUAAGCCUGAUAGCCCUGAGCUAUUGUUUCCUAAAGACCAGGAGCCCUUCUAGGCCUGAGCUGAGCCUUCAUCAUUUGGUCGCCUAUAAGUGGUUUGACCUAGAGUUUGCAUAUUACACUCUCCUUCUAGCUGAUCAAUCAUAGAGCCUAGAGCUCAUAACCCUGAGUUGUUCACAUAGCCCUGAGCUAUUCAUCGUAACCCUGAGUUACUCAUUGCAUCAUGACCUAGAGUUGUUCAUACCAUAAAUGGCCCUGAGUUAUUCAAUUGUGACCCGAAGUUACUCAUUUCAUCCAUGACCUAGAGUCAUUCGUGGCAUCCCAAGCCCUGAGCAUAUGACCCGAAGUCGUUCAUAUCAUUCACAUAUCUGAGAUGUUUCGUUUUCAUCAUUCUAGCCACUUACAAGUGGCCUUGACCCAACACCAUGAGUCGAAAAGCAUCCUGAUCAGCUAUCCAUUUAGAGCCCUGAGCUCAUAACCCUGAGUCAUUAUUCUUAUUUAUGACCCAAAGUCAUCCAUAACAUUUAGAGCCCUGAGCUCACGACCCUGAGUCAUUAUUCUUAUUUAUGACCCAGAGUCAUCCAUAGCCUUUAGAGCCCUAAGCUCACGACCCUAAGUCAUUAUUCUUAUUUAUGAUUUAGAGUCAUCCAUAGCAUUUAGAGCCCCGAGAUCACGAGCCCGAGUCAUUAUUUUAUUUUUGACCUAGAGUCAUUCUUAGCAUUUAGAGCCCUGAGCUCGCAACCCUGAGUUGUUCUUCUCAUUCGCGACCCAGAGUCAUUCUAUCCAUUUAGAGCUUUGAUCUCACAACCCUGAGUUGUUAUUCUUAUUAACCCGGAGUCAUUCUUAACAUUUAAAGCCCUGAGCUUCCAACCUAGAGUCAUUCAUAACACUUAGAGCCCUGAGCUCCCGACCUAGAGUCAUCUAUAGCAUUUAAAGCCCUGACCUUCUGACCCAAAGUCAUUCAUAGCACUUAGAGCCCAGAAUUCCUAACCCAAAGUCAUUUAUCACAUCCAUGACCUUGAGUCAUAAUUGUCACCCUUUCCAUCUUUGUGUUACUUGUCACAUACAUUUCUCCCUUCAUUUUCAUUCCCCCGACAUAGAGUUGUCCCAUUCUUAUCGUUGCAACCCCGUGUUCCUAGCUUAUCCUAAUCACGUGCUAGGACAAAAUCUCUAGUCCUUCUUUAGUUCAUCAGUAUGGUUCACUUCGUUCCAUUCAUUAUUCGUAUUUCUACUCACGUUCCCUAUACUCAUGAUCUUUACCGAAGAGGGGCAUAUUUGUAGACCCUCCAUUUUGCCCUCCUAGCACAUGUCCUAUUAGCUUUUUGUUCAGUACUUUACAACAAUUCCCUGAUGGCCCAUUACUACUCAUGUAGCUUAUCUUUUCUGAGCCACCUUAGAGAUUUUGGUUGAGGGGUUUAUCCGACUCCUCAUUAUGACAUCGGUUGUCCUUCGAGUUUAUAUUAGGCUUCACUUAGGUCUACUUUAGGUUAGACUCAAUUAGGUACCGCCUUAGGCCCAUUUAGGUACACUUGGCCCAUUAGGCAUUCUUAGUGUGACUUGUAUGGUUGCAUGUCUUGCAUGGCUCAUUUAUCUUAUUUGUCUAUUUAUUUGUUUGUUUGUUUGUUUUUUAAUAUUAUCAAUCACCUAUUUUUAUUUACUAUUACUUAUUUAUUUGUUUAUUAUCUUGCUAUUUAUUCAUUUAUUUAUUAUUAUUAUCUUAUCAUUCUUUGAGAAAAUCUUUAUUCAUUUAUCUUAUUUAAUAAUUUGAUGCUUUUAUAGGGAAAUCUAUCAAUGGAGAUCGAGAAGUCUUUGGAAAAUGUGGGACUCUUUAGGUGAUAUGCAUGGAUUGAUUUUUGGAAAUUCAAAGAAGGAUUUUUUUUUUUUUUUUUUUGGAUAAGACAUAGAAUUCAGAGAGAGGAGAAGUCCUCAGGUGGGACGGCUGCCAACUGUUAUAAAAAGCAUAGGCUGGUGGUUUUGAAGGGGGAGGAUUCUAAGAUUGUCUUUGUAGGGAGAGGAAGGAAGCAUGGCAAAGUAGAGUAAGAGAUCUGAGACGAUAUACCAGUAGGGAUUUUCUUACCAGGGAGGAGCGUUUCCAGGUACAUUUUCUGUAGACCCUUCCUUCAUUCCCGUUAUCUUCUUGUUAUGUAUUGAUCUUCGCGAGAUUUUGAGUUUUGUUUGGAUGCUUGGGUGUAGAAUGACAGAGGUUAUAUGUUUGUUUGCAUUGGUACUUGAUUGCUUCUAUAGAUGUUGUUGAUUUCUUCCUUUGGAGUUCUCUAAUUUUGGUUUAGGGCUGAAAGACUCUAUUUUUUUAUUUAUUGUGCAUUACAUGAGAACUGUGGCUGUAUUUGUUUCUUGGAAUCUGCUCGUACUCCCCUCACCAACCUUAGCCCAUGGAAUAAAAUAUGAAAUGUGACUUCCAUUGGUUCUUCCUUUUUUUGUUUAUUUUUUUCGUGCUCCGUUUGUAGUCUUCUUUUAUUUUAUGUGGAUAUUUCGAGUAUUUCCAGCCAUGUCUACGUCACUGAUCAAUGGCGCUAGAGAAUGGCUUCUUGAUGCUGUCAAAACUCGAUAUCCAAAUUUGGAAGAAGAAAGUAGGUUCAGGGGUUUCUCAUACAACUUCUAUUCCAGGAGGAAGAUUGUUUGGCACCGGUCGAAGUAUCUUUUAUUAGAGAACAAAGGAAGCAGAACAAGGGUGGAAGAAUAGGGGAGAGGUAAAGCAUGGAUAGUUUUGCCAAUUUUUUUGGAGAAGUUUUGCCAACAGUGAGAUUGAUCGGUUUUGGUGUCCAUGAAGGCAUCAGCAUGAGUUUUGGUGCAUUCUGGAAUGCAACAUGGGAAUUUGAUCUGUCACAAGUUUUCUAGAAAUUGUAGAGCUCAAAUUAAAGGCCGCCACGGUGAACAAGUUCGUUAUGAUGUUUAAUUUGGUACUCAUUUUCCUUGAAUUCAGAGUGGCAAGAUAGAAGAAAACAUAUCACUUGGUAAGGGAAUGGAUAAAGAAAGCUGUGGAAGGGUGAUUACUACUCAAAAAGUGCUAUUUGAUAGCUUAUAAUUAAUCCUUCUAAACACUCUUGAGUAGUAAUUAUUACCUUUUAACUCAAUUGACAUGUUAAGGACCCUUGAAAGCAAUUUUAAUCACUUUGUGUAAGUUUUGGUGUUUUUGUUAGUAAUUGGAUCACCAAAGCAAUUCAAGAUUGAGGAGAGUUAUGAGGAAUCUUGGGCAAAGCUUGGAAGUCAUUUGCCAAGAGUAAAUCCGGAUUGCAAGGAGAAAAAGUAAAGAGAAUCUGCCAUGAAGCAUAUUCUUGAUGACAGUCGUAGCAGCCACUUUUGGAGCACUUUCUGAAGUCCAAUUGAUGCAUGCUAUAUACCAUUUCAAAGCUCAGGAAGUCAACAAUAUAAUGCUUCAAAUGGUGCACAAUUCGGAGUUGAAACGAAUAAGUUGCAGCCAUUGCAAGCCAAUCACUCCAAGCUGAAGAAAGCAUUUUCCAAAGUGUUGCGAAAUCACCCUUUUGCUGCGAAGUGAUUCCGCAGCCUUUUUGUACAGUAGGGUGUAUUUCCUUCUGAAGUUGCCCGAUAUAUGCCGCGAGAGGGAAGCUAGGAACCUCAAGGUGGAAGCCAUCUUCGCAGCCCUGCGAAGAUAGCAUGUUGUUGCGAAAUGAUUUCGCAGCCCUUCUUGAGUGUCUGCGAAAUCUCGCAGACACCAUUUUCUCUUGCGAAAUGGUUCCUGGAGCAUCCCGAUAUUUGCUACCGACAUUGGGAGAUAUUUUACAUCAGAUUUUUGUUAUCUAAAUCCCAAAAUACUCCUUGUAAGCCACCAAUUACAAGAUUCCUUAGCUUUUAAGUUAGUAAAAAGAGAAAAUAUCUAUGUAAUAAUUAGUUUUAUAUUAUGUUCAUAUAAGUACCUCUCGGGAGCCUGUUCUCAGGGAGGAGACCCUUUGUAAAGUUUUGGAAAAGCAAGUAAAGUUCAGGCCCUUUGUUUUGCCUUACCUUCUCACUUUGUAUUAUUUAUUUCUUACUAAGUUAUGCACUCUCUGAGGAAUUUUCCCCAGAGAAUGAGUAACUAAACCUUUAGUUCCUUGGAGCUAAGGUUGCCGGGGAAGGUUCCAAGUGCAAGAAUGCAAAGCUUUGUGGUUUCAGCCAUGAAUGAAGAGGAAAUGAAAUCCUUUAGUGAUUUCUAUGUUUUUAGUUAACUUAAAACACCUUAGAGUCACCUGGGCCAACACUUGGUAAGGCAAGUGAUCUCCAACCAUGAAGAUGCACUAGUUUACCCCUUGCGAGCCUCUGGGAGGUGUCUUGAAGGUAGGAUUUUCUAGAAUUGCCAACACUUGGUAAGCUUUUGGACUCCAAAGAGACAUCCAUUAGUUAUCUCUUGCGAGCUUUUGAAGGGAAGCCAAGGUUUAAGAUCAUCUUGAAUGGUAAGUGCUAGUGAGAGGCUCGAACCGUUGCAAGUUGCAUCAGUGAGAGAAUUAAAGCUGAAAUCUAAUUAAAGGAUGUACAUGUACAAUACCGGUUAGAGAAUUGACUAUAUGUUGAUUCUCUCACGCGAGGAAAUGAACCAACUGACCUGAGCUAUGUCUUUUGCAUGAGGAAUCUCCCCAGUGAACCUGACUCUCCAAGGAAUGUUUUUCUUCCUAAGUAAUUCCCAUUACUUGUUUUGUAGUUAGUUUAAAUCUAAAUCUUUACCAAUCAAAGUUUUUGUUUUAUUUCUUGAGCUAACCUUGAAAUGAAAAAGUACCCAUUCACUUUGAAUUGGUAUCAUUUGUAACUUGGAAACCCUUCCCAGUGAACGAUCCUAGAGCCGAUAUACUAUAGUAGCUUUUUCUUUGCUACCCUAGUAUAUGGUGUUAUAGGUUAUAAAUUUUGUUGAUUACUCCCUCAUCCAAGGAGCACCAACUGGACAUGAAUCAGCUGGCACACCGACUGGGCACGAAUCAAAGGGUCCUUAAUACAUGUUCCUCAAAAAUGACCUGAAGGUUUUCUCAUCCAGUGACCAGAUAGUUAUGGAUGGUCUGAUUCUGAGUUUAGAUUGUUGCUCCUACUGAUCUUAAAAAAGUAUAUCGACUGCAAAACAUAGUCGGCAUGGUCUGCGAUCUUGAAGAACCUCCAAGUAAGCAAAAUGACAGGGGGAUCUACUGGGUCUGAUAGUUGAUGAUAGUUUACAGGGUCUGCCGCAAUUUCCAAAGGCCAAGUUGUCGUUUGUUUUCUUAUUAAUUCAGGGUUGUUGUUCAUCUUUCAUUGAUCCAGGCUCAUGGAAUCCUACAGCAUAUGUUGGUCUUGAUUUUCAGCAAAGACUAUCAUAGUCCUCUUCAAUGCCAUGCCUGCCAUGGCAUCUCAUACUCAUUGGAUAAACAAAUAUAUCAUACUGAGAUCAGAGUGACAAGAGUUAAGGUCUAUGAUAUGGAUAUAAGACAUCAAAUCCUUAUGAUGAUCCUUUACUUGCUACCUUGUCAUUGGAAUUUGGUAAUGCAGGAAAGAUUGGAGUGGCUAGAAUACUCCCUUCUUCAAAGGCCCUCGCAUUUGUUCUUAAUGGCCUCGGUGCCAUUUGUCUCAAGGGCUUAAAGGAAGUGAAAGAAACUUUAGUAUCGUGAUCCUUUGUGAACAAUGAAUCAGAUUUUUGCUCCAUUGGUUAAUGUUGCGGAAAAGCUUCUGCUGUAUUUUCAUUAAGGAGUACUGGUGUUGGCAUAACUAUCGAAAUUGUCGAUAGAAUUGCUUCAACAUGGGAUGAAAAUGUGGGGAGCUUUGGAUAGGAAAGAAAUAGGAAAUUACAAAGGUUGUCUUAUGGAAACAAUGUCGUCAUGGUUGAUUUGCAUUAGUUUAUUACCACUAGUUUUAAAACAUCGAAAUCCUGUGUUUGGUGGGCCACCCAUCCUUUUUGUUUACUUUUGUUAAUUCACUUGCUUCUGGACUCAUUAUCAGUGGUGAUGAAGAUUGUUUUACCAAGACCUGGAAAGAUGUAGUUCGUGUUAAAGCAUAGAGCAUCCUGGUUGUCUUUGGGAUGUUCAAUUCUGCAGAAUGUUAUACAGCAUGCAGCAAAAAUCCCAUGAGCCCAAUUCAGAUUCAAUAGCAUCUUUUGAUAUUAGAUGCCCUCCCACAAUCAGCUCGUUCAAUGACCCAAUUCGCAACAGGUGUCAUAGCUCUGAAAGUUCAUAGUCGAUUUCAGAAAGCAUUAAAGGGCAAUGAUGCGUUUGGUUAGGUAUUUUCUACUAUCCAUGCCUAUGGAAGAAGUUUAUCUCUUAAAAUGGUUACUACAAUAUCUCGCCAGAAUAAGGAGUUGCCAUGGAAAUUUUGUAUUUCAUCUAUGAUACCAAAGCAAAUAUUUCAGAUGGGUCCAGCUGGGAAUAAAAAAUUAAUGGCAAUCUCUAAUGAUAAUCGCGGACAAUCGCAGACAAUCACAGACUUGUUCAUGAAAAAUCACAUACAUAUAUUGAUUCUUAUGACUCCCAAAGUUUAUGGAGUUGAGCCAAGAAAGGAAGGUGCCAACGAAUCAAGGCGGAGCAUAAUUGGGUCCCUAACUCUGAUGUUGCUACUAGGAAUGAUACUUGGAUUCAAUGCAUUACAAAUUAUGGAACUCUUCCUUGUCUUUCGAACUUGUUGUCACAAAAUUACAAGAGAAACAUCAAGAAGGAAGCUUACUAGAACAUAAUCUCAUGGGAAUUAUAGUUGAUAUUCUUCAACAAAAGCCUAAUAAAAGCCACUCUUCUCAUCUCUGUAAGUGAGAAAACUACAGAUUUUUGAUGUCCAAAGUUGUCAACUGAUCGGGAAAGUUCCAGAAGAAGUCUUUAAGUUAACCUAUUUGACUUGCUUAAACACGGCGCAAAGCAGUUUAGAGGAUGUAAUUAAAAUUUUUAUACUCCAGGUUGCAGUAGCGGUUCUGAUAACACUCAAACUCGAAGCAUCAAGGGAUGUGUGAUUACUACCCAAAAAGUGCUAUUUUGCGCUUUUAAUUCAUUAUGUUUUAAGCACUUUUGUGUAGUAGUUCUCCAUUUUUAUUCCAAUUGGCAUGUUAAGGACCUAGCAAUGACUUCUAAUCAUAUUUGUGGCUAGUUUUAGUGUUUUGACAGCUUUUUGGAUCAUUAAGACAAUCCAAGUAAAGGAGAGAAGCAAAGAGGAAAAACAAGCAAAGUGAAGAAAACAGAGGACAACAGCUGCAGUCUUCCUUCGCACUUUUGGAGCACUUCCCGAAGUUCAUUUUCUACAUGCUAUAUACCAUUUCAAAGAUCAGGAAGUCAAGAAUCCAACGCUUUAAACCGUGUAUGAUUUGGAGCUGAAAUGAGGAAGAUAUGGCCUUCGGAAGACAACUGCUCUAGGCUUGUGCGAAAUUCGCACAACACCUUGAAAUUCGCACAACACCUUCAGGUUGUGCGAAAUUCGCACAACACCUUGAAAAUUCGCACAGCAGCCCAUGCGUGGUGCGAAAUCUCCUCUGUUUUUCCGACUCCACACGAGAUCUUUUCUUUUAGAUAUUUUUGUAUAAAUUUCCAUUCUUCUCCUUGUAAUCCACCAACCAUAAGAUUUCUUAGCUAGGAAGGUUGGAAAAACUUCUCUAUAUAUAUUCCCUUGCAUCCGUUGUAAUAAAGAGAAAAAUAUAGAUAUAGAAGUAUGUAAAAUAGAUCAAUAUAUAGAAUAUACAGAGCCUUGCUCUAUUUUUCCUUCUCUUUCAUUUUCAUUUUCUUGCUAGCCAAACAUCCUCUGAGGAUGUUUUCCCAGAGGAUGAGAGGCUAAACCUUUGGUUUCUUGGAGUGAAGGAAGCUAGGUGAAAAGUCCAGAUGCUAAAGUGGAAAACUCUCGUGCGUUACAUACAGGUAGUUGGAGUUCAUAAAUGGCUUUUAAAUCUAAAGUUUUGCUUUAAAUCCCUUAGAAUCACUUUGAAUGGCCAAUACAUGGUAAGCUUCAGGUCUCUGUAGAUGCUUAUUGCUAGAUCCAUAUCAGUCCAUUAGUUAUCAUGUACGAGCCAUUGGAAAGUGAUUCAAGGUGAAGACCCAUAGUGUCUAAAGCCAUUAAUGGAACUUGACUACCAUUUCUAUUGACUUUUUAUGGAUUAAAUCUUCAUUGUUAAACCUACAUCGGUUUGGGAAAUAACUAUAGGUUAAAUCCCCAAUGCGAGGAGAGAAAUCAGGAAUUUCCCACUUUACAGUUGGCACCUGAUCCUAGUAACCUGAAAUCCUAAGAAACACCUUUCUUUCUAAUUUCUUUCUAGUUAAUUUUAGUUACUUUAUGUUAGGUUAGCUUAAUACCAUUCGUUUUCAUUCAAAGAUUAUGUUUUCUUUUAAAGCUAACCUUGAAACGAAAAGGCACCAAUUUAGUUUUGAAUUAAUAUCACUGGUAGAGUGAAAACCCAUCCCAGAGUUCGACCCUAGAGCCACUAUACUAUAGUAGCUUUGCUACGCUAGUAUGAGGUCAUAGGUUUUAUAAAUGUUUUUGAUUAAAAGACCCGACUGGAUCAAACGAAUCAAUGUGACAGAAUUGCUAGUAAUGGAGAGAUCUUGGAAGGCAUUAGAGAUAUAUUGAAAAGAUCAAUUUCUGCCACCUUGAUUAAAUAUCCAAACAGUGAAUGGCUAAAUGUGUUUUAAGAAAAUAUUAAGAAGAAAUUCGAUAUAGUAAUAAGUUUAUUCUCUUAUUCAGACCAAGGGCUUGCUCAUAUGAUACAACCAACCAAAUCUCACUAGUUUUCAGAUGUCAUUGAGAGUGGAGUUCAAGUCAAAGUGUUGGAGUGCAAUCAAAUCUCUCGUAGGCCACUUUGCAUUCUCUUCUUCACUCAGAUAAAAUUUCCUAUUGGCACAAUCGGUGCACCUGGUUGGGUGACUUUCUCGCUAUAGAAAUUAGUGAGGCAUUCAGAGUCUUUAUACUUUUGUACAUGAGUUAUAUGAUGGGUAGUUGGUGAUAAAUUUUUGUUUUUUUUUUUAAAAAGUCUUCUACCCACUAUUUUCUAAACUGGAGGUAGUGUUCCAAUGGCAUCAGAUUGGGUUUUCCUAACUUUAUAGGAUUCAAUAACCCAUGUAGAGUCACAACUUUUUAAGCAAUCUGCAGGGGUAAACUGAUCACUGAAAUCAGGCACAACAAAGGACUCUAUUUCCAUUCUCAGGAAAGCUUUGCCAGUCAUAGCGAAACUGAAUGUUCUUAGAUAUGAUACCAUCCACGUCACUAAAAUUGAGGCAAACAUCAAAUGUGACACUUUCAUUCCUGUUCUUAGCACUUCAAUAUUUCAUCCAUCUAGAAAAGAUGAGACUCUAUAGAAAGAGAUGAUGAUUGCAAUAACCCUAAAGGUGAUGAUGAUGGUUCCAAGUGUAAAGAAGAGAGCAUGUGAAGAACCUGUAGAUUGCCGAAUGUUUCCAAGAUUGCUCAUAGAUAUAUUUCAAAUUUUCAAGAAUUCCUUCAACACUGCCAAGCCUGCCAAGAAGUAGAAGGAAUUGGAGCAACUUCAGACUCAUGCGCAGAAUGAACACCUGCAAUUUAAUCAAACUAAGAUGACUCCCCAAAACUUGCAAAAUUUACACUCUCAAUUGCAGUAAGAACAAAAAGUUCUACUGUUAGAUCUGAAAUUGGACCAUAAAGAUUGAAACAGGUGGUGGUGUCUAAGCUUGAUUUAGAGAAUGAAGCAGAGUGGUCCACCAGACACCUUUUCGAUAACCAGUAGAUUUCAAAGCUCCAAACAGGAGUCAAUUCUUAAAACCGCAUUAAUUGAGAUUGAUGUUCCUCUUAAGUCGAUAAAGGCAAAAGUAUCAUCUUCAGUUUUAUAUGGUGGAAAAGAAAAUAGAAAGACAAAAUAAAGCGUCAAUGUUUCAUAAUUACAUAUUAGAGAUUUCAGAAUAAAGUCUUUGCUAGAACUUGAAAUGGUUGAAGUCAUGACACUGUUGUUAUUAUUGGCAUCAACAAGUGAGAAGUUGGAGAUGAAAUAGCCAUUUGUAAAUUGGAAAACUGCAUCAAGUUUCAGUUUUGCACAUGCAAAUGGUUAAAGGAAGUAAGCCAAGUUACAACCACUGGUAGUAAGAUCUCUGAACGUGAGUCUUUUGAGCUACAACUUAAGACAUCUCGCAAAGCUAGCAAUGUCAAGAAAGUAGUCAAUUUCUAUCAUCAAGUUGGUUUAAAUGGUGAAACCAACAACGCUAAACGAAGAUGAGAGCCCUCUUCGAACGUAACAGUAUCCCGAAUCAGAAAUUGACACCCUUGCCUUAGCUACAUCUUUGAAUAAUGGAAAUGGGCCAUUAGUGAACUCCCUCAUACAGGCUACAGAUGAUUGGUUAGGAUAACUUAAGAGGUAAAGGAUGAAGCUCAUUGUGAAACCAAGGUUUGGUUAAUCUUGAUUUUGAUGAUAACAAAACAAGGUUUAGAACUAAUGAUUAUAUUUCAAGUGUGAUUAGGCAAGAUGAUUUCCAAAGUGGCAAUCACAAAGACAAAUCAAGCAAAGGAGAAAUCAUGAAGAAGAAGACCACCUCAAAGAGAAGUGUUUUUCAAGACCCAAGCUUCAUAAGAUCUCUUUGUAAGGUUGUUCGUGCACUAGGAUUUUCAUGCAUUACAUUUUUUACUUAUGCACCAAAAUCAUCCAAGAGUUAUUUUGUUUUAAAUAUCUUAAGAAUGGGAUGAUUUCAUGUUUUCAACUAAAACCUUGUGUUAAAUAUUUUUCAAACUUGUUUUAAAAGGUUUUAAGUUGAAAAAGGUUGGGCGUUGAGCUAAAAAAUGGCUCAACCAGUUCAACCGGUUGAGGAACCGAUCAACCGAUUGUGCUCGUCCGAUCAAGUACCGGUCGAGGGAGGCCAAAAAGUUUCAAAAGGUAAAUCUCGGAGUGUGUACAUCGCGACUCAUCUAAAAGCAAAUCUCAAAGUGCACAAAAAUAUUGCUCAUCUAGAUAACCCAAUCUGCAAGACAAUGGCAAAAACAUUCUAUCUCAUGAGCGUCCAACUAAAGGAUCCACCCAUGCUCCUCGGGUAAAACCUAAUGUGAUCCAUCUCUAUCUCAACAAAUCCAUGUAAGGAGGUCCUUAUACGGUCAAUCGUCGGAAGCCCCAAACGAAUACUCAAUCUAAAACCAAGCUGGUCGCUAUCUCAAUCUUAAGGGUACUCAAAGAAAAUGGGAAAUAUGCCCCAAUAUGAGAUAUGAUGUCAAAGUCAUGAGGUAAAAAACCAACAAUGAUCAUCCAUCUAUGUACCAUUGUCUGAACACAAUUUCAUCAAGGAGAGAAGAAUAUGCCCCAGUAUGGAUAUCUGAUGUCAAAGUCACGAGGUAAACAAACAAUAAUGAUCAUCUAUCUAUAUAUCGCUGCCCGAACACAAUCUCAUCAAGGUGAAGGGAAUAUGUCUCAAUAUGGACAUCUGAUGUAUAAUAAAGAAUCUGCUAGUAUCAAUCAAACAUCUUUAUAACCAUAAAUAAAGAUAACCAUACCACCCAACAACAACUAGGAACCUCAGAGAAAAAAGGGAGAAAUAUGCCCCAGUAUGGAUAUUUGAUGCACAAUUAGAAGGGUGAAUCCAAUAUCAUCAAUGACCUGUCUCUAAACUAAAAAAUCCAUCAAACAUCAAUAUGCUAAGCAAGAGAGAGAAACCAAAUGCUUCCAAAAGCAUCUUCCAUGAGAGAAAACAUAGUAACGACUAUACUUCAACCAAUCUGCAAAAGUCUAUCCAAGUGAAGACUGUUAAAGAUAAUGUUUAAUCUCAUGGCCUCAAGGUGGUCUUAAGACACAGAAUGUAAUGUAGGCCAGGGUGAAAAGGCAAAGAAACAAAAGAAAACUAGGCUCAAAUACCCAAUGAUCAAACCCAUACCCUCGUGUAUAGUGUACAACGCAUAGGAGACUCUCAUAAGCAUGUGAACUUAAGAGGAGUCAAUGGUAACAUCGAUGGUGAAACGAAAAAGGAAAAGAAGUGAUCACGCCAUCAAUGGAUCAUGUAAAUGAUGUGAAGAAAGGUGUCGAAUCAGGAAGGUGUAUAGGUGUUGGAAUGGGACGAAAAAGGGAAUAAAAAGUAGGAAAAAAACGAUGGGAAAUCAAAUGAAGGUAGUGAGAGAAUAAAAAAAAGGAAUGAUGAGCAACACAUAUCAAUACAACAAAGAUAAAUCAUAUCACCCAUAAUGGAGUAGUAGAGAAGACACUAAUUCGGAGACCUUAGUGAAAGGUUACUCAACUCUCAUACCUAUAAAGUACAACAACUUUGAUCCAAGAAACAAAAGGAUCUCACAAAACUCAAAACUCUCAUGAAAAACUCUCAUCCCUCCAAUUGCAUAACGAAAGUGACUUAAGGAUCGAAAAGUCCUUGUGGAAAACUCGCACAAGCCCUCAAUGAUAAACCCAAUAAACAACCUCAAAUAACAACACAUGCUCAAUAAAGUAGGAUAUCAAGUACAAACAUGUCAUUGCGCCAUUUUUUUUAAAUUUUUUUAUUUUCUUGUAAUGAAUGCGCAUACCCUAGUCAUCAGUAAAUCAUACUCCAAUGAGAAACUACAAGGAAUGAAUAAACUCUCUCAAAUCACUGAUGAGUACAUGAAACCCCCAUCCCAUGAGACAACCUUUCAAGCUAAAAUUUUCGAAUCAAUGUCAAAUGAUGGAAUGAAAGGAGUGGUGUGACUAUCCUCUAUGCAUCAAUAUGUGAAGAAUCAUCAUUCCAAGUGAAGGAAAUAUGAAAUAUAGCAACCAAUGAUAAAAACCAGGAUUGAGAUGAAAAUGUGAAAAUAAUGGAAUGUAAUAGACAGGGUGGUGAGGUGAUAAUAGCAAGGAUGAGGAAGAUAAGCCUAUAAGUCUAAAGCUCAUGAGACUUUCCUAGCAAAGUGUAACUAUACAUCAAAGUGCCUUAACCCGGGUAUAGAAAUGAUAAGUAGGGCUACAGAAAAGAAAAGGUUAUAGUAUACCACAUGAGGCUCAAUGGGCUAGCAACGGUCUAAUAUAUCAAUAAAGGUGAUAAGGUGUUAGGCUAAUCGAAAUGAUGACCACCCAUCUUGUGACCAUAAUCUCAAACGUAAUACUUCUUCAAUUGAUCCACAUUGGUAGGCUCUGAAAACUGGUUUCCAUCUAAGUCGAUCAACCAUGCGGCCCCUUCUGGAGUCAAAUCUCGAAUAACAUAAGGCCCACUCUAACUAGGUCUGAACUUACCUCUAGGGUCUCCAACCAAACCUCUGAGAAUCCUCAAAACCAAAUCCAGUUUCUGUAAUGGUCUAGGCUUGACCCGUUUCCUAAAGGCACGAGCCAUCUUUCUCUGAUAGGCUUGAACAUGAUCCGCUACUCUCAAUUUCCUCUCAUCUAAAAGGUUAAGUUAAUCAAAUCGAGCCUAGGCCCACUAUGUCUCAGAAAUAUCUUGCUCAAGAGCUACUCUCAAUGAACCCAUCUCCUUCUCGAUUGGCAAAACAACCUUCAUACCGUACACCAAAGAGUAAGGUGUAGCUCCUGUAGAGGUGCAAAAAGAAGCACGAUAUGCUCACAAUACAAAAAGGAGUUUCUCUGACUAAUCUUGAGAAGUCUCAACCAUCUUCCUCAAGAUUCUCUUAAUGUUCUUAUUUGUAGCCUCUAUUGCCCCAUUAGUUUGUGGCUUGUAUGCAAAUGAUCUGUGAUGUUGGAUGCCAUACCUCUGUAAGAAAGUGUCAACCUCAGCUUGGAAGUGUACCCCUCUAUUUGAAAUUAACUCAUGAGAAACCCCAUAGCGGCAAUUGAUGUGUGACUUCAUGAAACUUGCAACUCUAGUAGAUGUUAACCUCGCAUAUGAUGCGGUUUCCACCUACUUGGUGAAAUAAUCUAUGGCGACUAGGAUGGACUCAUGACCACUGGAAGAUUUUGGUGAAAUCUUCCUAAUAAUAUUAAUACCCCAUACUGAAAAUAGCCAUGGUGAGGUCAAAGCGUGCAACUCCGAUGGCGAUGCAUGAAUGAGAUCACCAUGAAUCUGAAACUUUGGGUAUUUCUGAACAAAUCGACAACAAUCUGUCUCCAUAGUCAACUAGAAAUAACCUAUCCUCAUAAUCAUAUGGACUAGCAUGUGUCCUCCCAUGUGUGUACUUCAAACUCCUGUGUGAACCUCUCUCAUCAUACGGUCUGUGGAAUCUCGAUCUAAACACAAUAGAAGCAUACCAUUAGCUGAUCGCUUAUAUCAGGUAUCUCCACAAAUCACAAAUCUAGUGGCUAACUGCCUUAGUCCUCUUCGAUCCUUGGCUGUGGCUAACUCAGGGUAUGUGUUAGAUCUGAGAAACUGAUAAAUGUCAUGAUACCAAGGUAGAUCAUCUUGGACCUCUGUUUCUCCAAUCAAACAACAGUAGGUAGGUGCAUAUCUCAACUCAAUCAGCAAUGGACAUAUGACCACAUCAAUUGGAAUGUCUACAAAGAAGCUAGGGUAGCUAAAGCGUCAGCAAACCGAUUCUACGCUCUAGGCAGAUGAACAUAUCUCAAGUCAUCAAACUUCCCAACCAGUAACUCCAAAUAAGCUUGAUACAACCUAAGCUUUACAUCCCUAGUCUUCCAAUCUCCAUGAAUCUGUCUAAGUACUAGAUUAGAGUCACCAAAUAUCUCCAUCUGUCUAAUGCCAAGCUCUAGUGCAGUCUUUAAACUAAUGAUACAAGCCUCAUAUUCAACAAUGUUGUUUAUGGCUAGAUGUCGAUCUAAAAAUGCUAAAUGAACGAACCUCGAAAUAAAAUAACCUUGAUGGAAUACCAAUAGAACACCUAUCCCAUACCUUGAUUGAUUGGCUGCACCAUCGAAGUACAUGCACCAUCUUAAUAAGCUAGUCAUAGCAACAAACUCUUCAUCUAGAAAAUCAUCAUCAGCUAGUCUAUCCUUAGAUGUCAGUAGUGAGGCUAAGUGAUCGAUGACAAUACUUCCCUUAAUAGACUUUUGAGAAACAUAUUGAAUAUCGAACUCUGUCAAAAGUACAAGCCAUCUCAUCAGUCUACCAGUCAACGCAGGUCUAUCAAAUAAGUCUUUCAAUGGAUCUAAGCGGGAUAUCAAGUGCACUGAAUACUCUAUCAUGUAAUGCCUCAAUCUCCUGAUAGCCCAAACUAGUGCUAAGCAAAGGCGCUCAAUCAUAACGUAUCUCAUCUCAUACUCCAGCAUCCUCUUACUUAGAUAGUAAAUAGCUUGCUCCUUUCCUGAGUCAUCAAGCUAGGCGAACAUACAUCCUAAGGCCAUGCCUGAAACUGAUAAAUAUAGAAGAAGCGGAUGUCCCGACAUGGGAGGCACUAAAACAGGAGGAGAAAGCAAAUACUCGUUAGCCCUCUCAAACGUAGCUGACAAUCAUUAUUCCAAACUGUAGGUUGGUUCUUCCUCAAAAGACGAAAAAUGGGCUCACAUAUGUUUGUCAAUCUGGCUAUGAAUCGAUUAAUGUACUGUAACCUGCUUAGAAAACCUUUGAUCUCUUUCUCAGUCCUCGACAUAGGGAUGUCAAGUAUGGCUCUGAUUUUAUCUGGGUCAACCUCUAUGCCUUGCUCACUGACCAUAUGCCCCAACAAUUUCCCAUAAGUCACUUUAAAGGUGUACUUCUUAGGAUUCAACCUCAAUCUGAAUUUCUGAAUCCUCUCAAAGAAUCUUUCUAGAGCUGCUAGGUGAUCUGCUCUGCCUUGGGAUUUCACAAUCAUAUCAUCCACAUAAACUUCAACAUCCCUAUGCAUCAUGUCAUGAAACAAAGUAGUGGCGACCCUUUGAUAAGUGGCUCCUGCAUUCUUCAACCCAAAUGGCAUAACCCUGUAACAGUAGGCACCCCACUUGGUAAUGAAGGUUGUCUUCUCCAUAUCCUCUAGAGCCAUCAAAAUCUGGUUAUAUCCUGAAAACCCAUCCAUGAAAGACAACAUCGAAUGGCUUACGGUGCUAUCGACCAACAAAUCAAUAUGUGGGAGGACAAAGUCAUUUUUAGGGCUGACUUUAUUAAGGUCUUUGAAGUCAACACAAGCUCUAACUUUGCCAUCCUCUUUGGGAAUAGGGACGACGUUAGCCAACUACUUUGGAUACUCAACCACUAAUAAAAUCCAACACUGAGCUACUUCUAAAUCUCGUUUUUCACCUACAGACUCCAGCAUGGGUAUAAACGCCUCAAUUUCUGCUUAACCGGUCUGACAUAUGGCAGGAUAGGCAAGUGGUGCUAGACUAUAGAGGGAUUGAGACCAGGCAUGUCCUUAUAAGACCAUGUAAAGACAUCCAAGUAUGACCUGUGUAGAUAAAUAAGUCUAUCCCUCUCAUCUGUAGAUAGGGGUGAACCAAUCUUCAGCUCUCUAGGCUAAUCCUUUGUGCCAAAAUCAACAAUCUCAACAUCCCGUGUAGCAGGUGAAACUUUCUCAUCUAUGGGAUCUGAGUCAUGAUCAAAAGAGUCUCUGUUUGAAUAGGAUUGUGCAAUCUCAUCAUCUAUAUCAAAUAUCUGUGGAGUGAGUGAAUGGGGUACAAAUAUAAAGAUACUAUCACAAGAGACGGGCGAAUACUUAAAAAUACUCAAAUCCAUAAAUGAAGCAAUAGAAACAUCGUCAAAGUGGGAGACAAAUCCCGAUAAAACAUCAGAGGAAAAAAGUGGGUCCACAAGGUUGGACGCUCUCUCAAUUGGGCUAACAGUGCCCUCAAACAAACUACUAUCAUCCUCUAAAAGCUAUGGAAUAGAAAUAGUUUGGGUCUCCUUAACAACCUCGGUGGUAGACACCCUAAACAUAUCAAGUGGUGAAAUAGGCUAAAGCUGAACGAUGCUGGUAAUUUGACUUAUGGUCAUCAUGUCCAUCUCAUCUUGGUACUCAUCAUGGGGAACAACUCCAUCAAUCAUCUCAAUGGGAUCAACAACCACUCCAUCAUCAAUGACCUCAUCUGGGAAGCAUAGAGACAACAAACUAGCUUGAUUUGGAGACGUAGGAGUAAUCGCCAUAGAAAUAGAAGUGCUAGGAACCCCAUCACUCAAUUGUAACUGGUAAAAUAGAUGCUGAAGCUCAAUUUCUCUAUCUGUAUGAACCACACUAUAAAUCUCCUUUAGACGAGGUUGAAUCUUUGAUCCUCUGAAAAAGUAGUCGGCUAAACUCAUCCUAUAAGGUCAAAUAGGAUAAUCAAAUGGUGUGUGAGACAAUCGGGCCCUCACUCUCUCUUUACCUAGUCACGCCAUGUAUCGGUAAUCGGCCUUAGUAGGAGUGAACCCUAGUCCAAUUAUCGUAUCAUGGUCAAUGGCAGCUAUAAACUCACUGGGUCCCUAUUGACGUAGUCCUAACCCUAUGCUAGGUAGAAAAAACAUACUCCUCAUCAUAUCAAGAACCACUGUACUGCUGUGCUAAUCAAAUGACAUAGCUACAAAAUCUUUGCAAAAAUCCUCAAUCUCAAGAGUCUGUAUCUCAUCAAAAGUAAACCCAGUAAAAAAUAGGUCAUCCUCACUGUGGCUGAUCUGAAGUAUUGGCUCGGAAGAGACAAACAUAUUUUUGGUAAAUGGUACCAUGAUGACCUGCCCAUCAUGAUUGAACUUCACCUUCUAAUGAAGGGAAGAAGAAAUAACUCUCUCUUAGUGCUAUCAUACGCUCUGAUUGUCUGAGUAGAAGGAUUAAAAUUUGAAUGUGCGAAAUCGAGGGCUAUAACAGUGGCUAAAUGGCAGACAUUCAGGGUUGAGCCAUUGUCCAACAUAACAGAUGGAACUAUGUGGCUUGAACAACCAACUGAAAUAUAUAGAGGACGUAUGUGGUCUAAACCCCUAGGUGGAAAAUCAUCAUCUGAAAACACAAUGCAAGUGGUUUUGCCAGAUGUCAUCAUAUGAAUCAACCCCUUUGGAGUGGUGAUAGUCUCUCCCUUGAUCUGACUUCAGGCUCGAAUCAAAGCAUCUCUAUGAGUACUAGAUGAUGAUAAUAAACUCCAAAUAGAAAUACGAGACUGGGAGCUCUGUAACUAUCUCAAAACCUCAUCAUCCUUUCUCCUAACCUCCUCACGAGAAGUUGCAUUCUCAAAUGGCCUGAUUGCUGCUGGUGGUGGUUGAGCUAUCCUCCCACUAGGAGUCACAAUCUGUAUGUCUCUCCCAUUUGAAUCAUCAUCCUCUAGCCAUAAAGUGAACGAGACAAAAGUAUCUUAGCGUUUGAUAACCAAAGAUGUAGAAUGAGUCAACUGGAACGGUGCCCCAUCUGGGAUCAAACUGAACGAUGUGGGAACCUGAGGACCCAAUGAAACCCCAUCAACCCCAUCAACCAUGGGAACGAAUCUACAGGGCUAUCACCUUCUUUGGCCAGAUCUUUCAACCUUUUCACAAUUACAGUUCACUGCGCCCUUUACUAAUAGAAUAUCUAGUAAAGGGGCUUGAAAGCUUACCUUAUUAUUCGAAUUUUAGAAAGGUUUGGAACCGGAGUUUUCGCCCCAACCGUUGUUAGGGGGUCGUUAGACCGUAGCUUGCUACUGAAAAACGUAAUAGGCUAGCGCGGCUCGCUUCGCUCUUCAAGCUCCGCCCCCCUUACUCACCUCUGAAUCUAUAAAAAAAGCCCUUUCCCAUUCUUAUAAUAAUAAGGUAAGCUUUGAAGCCGUAGCUUGCUGGUUUUUCCAUCAUCCAAUCCACAUCGAAUGAAACCUGGCGAAAAAGAAGUGAACACUUUGCUGAGGAUUCGUGUUUGUUUUUCUUCAAAGCCCCAAUCCGCUCUCGCUCGCCGCUACUAACGGGGUCUCGGUUGAUUUCCCUUCCUUUAGCUACUCAGAUGUUUCAGUUCGCUAAGUUUGAAAAGUCUAAAGAGCGUAGACUAGCCACGGAGCUUGGAUACGGUUUCCCGAUCGGAGAUCCAUGGAUCACAGACGGUAUCUCCCCAUGGCUUUUCGCCUCUGAAAGCGUCCUUCCUUCUCAAUGCCCGGGCCUCAUAAUUGUCAUGCAAAACAAUCAGCCCGGGUAAUCUAUCAUCCCAACAUAUGUAUACUGUCAUCCUCUAUAAGGUCUAUGUGUUGGAUAUCUCCUAGAGGUUGAGACAUUACAUGUGUAGAAUGGGCAGGAAGAGGGUUAGUGGUUACACUUGGCUGCCCCAAGUUAACCAAACCUUGGUCUAUCAAAUCCUGAAUAGCAUGUCUUAGAGCGUUGUAGUGGUCCGUGUCAUGCCCUAGUCCCUGAUGAUAAGAAUAGUGUAAGUCUAAUUUGAAGUGAGGCGACACUAGCUGAGGUAUUGGCUUAGGUGCCAAUGGAGUCAAUAACCCACCCUCUAUGAGCUUUUGAAAAGUUUAACUCAAAGGCUUACCUAAAUGAGCAAACUAACGUGAUAACCUCUACACAUAAGUAGUGGUCUGUGGGGCUCGAGACCGAGUGUAUGGGAUAGGAGGUCUCUCUAUGACAUGUGCAACAAAAAUAGGUUAUGAGACUGGAUGUAGAUAAGUGGGAGUCAUGGGCCUAGAGGGAAUAGGUGACCUAUACUGUACAUGAGGUGAUGGUGGGUAGUAGAAUUUAGAAGUUUGCCUAACUAUCUUCCUAAAGGCUUCUUUUCCUUAGAGUCAGUAGGGGAAGACUCGGGCCAUAGUCCUUUAGCUAUGCCCUCCUCUAUACCAUAUAAAGCCUGUACUAAAGAUCCAAAAUCCGUACAAGGAAAUCCCAUCAAGUGCUUAGCAAACUUAGGUGUAGACCCUCCAUUUUAUCCUACUAGCACAUGUUCUAUUACGUGUUCGUUUUAUACUUUACAAUAAUUCCUUGGUGACCCAUUAGGCACUUUCUUAGGCCCACUUUGGCACCCUAGGCCCAUUUAGAUUCACUUGGCCCAUUAGGUACACUCCUAGGUCACUUGACACAUUUCCGAUCACCUUACGUCACUUAGGCACUUUUCACUUAGGUCACUUAGAUUCUUUUUUUGGGUCUAAAUCCCUAAGAUUGAUUUCUUGAUUGCUUGAUUUUUGAGAUUAGGUGAGUAUUAUGCUUGAUUUGGAUUUUGAUUGCUUGAGAUGAAUUUUUGAUAUUUAAUUGCGUCAAUUUGAUAUUUUGUUUUUUUUUAAAUUUUUUAUUAUGUUUUAGUUUAAUAUUUAGAUUAUUAAUUAUAAGCAUUUGAUAUUUAUUUAUUUUUUGCUUUAUUUAUUCAUUCAUCUAUUUAUUUAUUUUCCGAAAAAUGCAUGUGAUUUGUGAUCUUAUCUUAUUAUUAUUAUUAUUAUUUUGGUAAAUUAAUUUUUUGAAAUGUUUCAAUAUAAUUUUUUUUAAUGAAUAAUUUUUUGGUAAUUUAUUAUUAUUAUUAUUAUUAUUAUUAUUAUUAUUAUUAUUAUUAUUAUUAUUAUUUGUUUAUUUACUUUAUGUUUUUAUUUUUUAUUUUAUUUUAUAUAUGUAAAAAAAAUAAAAAUUGAGAAGCAUGGGAACUGGUGGGCUGCAUGGAAAAGAGGCUGAAUUUUUGAAAAUCGCUGGGUGAAGAAAAUGAUGCUUGGAAAAAAGGGUUAGUGAGGAGUUUCAAGGAGUUUUGCAUAGGAAAAGCACAGAUGAGGUUUGAAGAAAAAGCGGGAUAAAGAGAAAGCAGGAGAAAGAUGAUUCAGGAGAAAACCAGGAAGAGAACAUUCAAAUUUGAUGGGAGAAAACCAAGGAGAGAGCAUUCAAAUUUGAGGGGAGGAAAAAAGACGUUUAGAAAAAUGAGUAACAAGGAGAAGGAAAAUCAGAAGAAGAAAAAUAGAGAACUAUUGGGGAUUUUGAGAGCAAAAAAUAGAGCAAAAGAGAGAGAAUAGCAAAAGGAGGCGGAGCAAAGGAGAAGAAGUUGAGUUGAAGCCAAGCAAUUAUUUGCUUAAGGGGAGCUUUCCAGGUAUGACGAUUGUAGCAUUUUGUUUCUCAUUUUUACACUACUUUACUCUCAUUUUCAAUCGUUUUUCUAAGUAUUGAUUUGCUGAUUGGUGAGGACAUAAGGGGCCAUUCGCUUGCUUUACUAGAUCUACUAUUAUGUACAUGCUCUGUUUUGGGCUUUGAAUUUUGGUAUCUUUGUUUUUUUUUUUUGGUAAAUACCUGAUGCAUAAAUCCCUUCCUAAGUUUGAUAGAUAAAAAUCAUGCUUUUGUUUCAUGUGGAUUCCACCUACUCCUAGCUCCUUAUUAGUAUAUGAAAUAGAGCUAAGAUUCUUUGAUGUUUGGUCAUUUGUUCGUUUAUGCUUUGCUCCUGUUUCUAUUCUUCCUUGUAUUACUUUGUUUUUGGUAUCUCUAGGUGAUGAUACAAUAGCUAUGGUCAUGCAACCAUUGAGAAGUCUUCGUUCCCCAGGUAUCCGUCACCAUUUGGUUGGCAUGUUAGAGAAGUAUUGCAUGGGGCUGACAAGAUAUGGUAAGAAAUUUCUAGCUUCAAAGUGAUAUCUUCGUUUUCUUGCUAAGUACCAGAACUGGUGGAUUGGGGAUCUGAUCACUAACGAGAAUAAUGAGCAUUUUGAGUUGAAUGAGGGUCCUUCGAAAGUCUACAGAUGAUGGCCAAUUGAUUUUGAAGUUGAGGAUAUGGCUGUUAUAAAUCUUCAUAGAUGCAUGGAAGGAAAGCUGAAAUGGGAAGCAAAAUUCAGACCAUGAAGUACAGAAAGCACUUGAUGUAACUGUUAGAAAUAAGUAGAAAGUUUAACCUGGUUCUGCAUUCUUCAUAUAGUUCAUAACACGUUAUCUAAAUGGGAAUACGGGAAUGUAGAAAAGGGUUACCACUAUGGCUAGAAGAUGGGUGGGUAAGCACUCACCAGAAAUCGCCAUUGGGUUUAAUCAAGAAGCAGCAACUUCAAUCAUGGCCAGACUUGCCAUCCAUUGAGCGGAGACGUGUUAUGCUUGAGAUGUCAUCAAAUGGUUGGAUAAUGAAUCGAUUCGUUUUGUUUCCAAGUUUGGGGAUUGUAUACAAGAAGAUCCAUCUUCUUUUUGUCUAUCAACCAACUUCUCUUUGUACCCAUAGUUCACGUACCCAUCAUACCUAUUUCUCUCACUACCCACAGCUCCAUUCACCACCUAACCCUAUAAACACACUUCUUUCACCACCUCUUUCAUUUAAACCCAUUUUCCUAACCCAUCAUUAUGCACUCCCUGGUCAGGCCAGAAACGGAUAUGCCCUUUUCUUACACCUUUAUCCAUCACUAAUACUCCCAUUUAUCAUACCUACUACCAGCAACCGAAACCCAUCACCAUACUCACAUCUCAAUUUUUUCAAUAUCCACUAAAGCCACUUCUCUCUCUACCUUCCAUCACCCAUUCCACCAUUCAUUCCCCACUUGUUUGUUUUUCAUCUUCCCAUGUACAUGAAGUCCCAUGCACACAGUCACCAUCAUCUCACCAUCCUUCUAAUCUUCAUACCCUAACACACCCCUUACCACCUCGCUAUCACUCACCCAUGCACACCUCACCACGGCUCACCCAUGCACCCCAUGGCCGCCAUGCUUACCAUAGCUCACCCAUGUAGCCUAUAUGAAGUCUGCAUGCACCCCAUGGUCACCACCCUCACAGUUCACCCAUGCAGCCCGCACCUCAUCUCAUGCACCCGUGGCCUCCAUAAUACCACCAUGCAGUCCAUGACUACCCUCACAGCUCACCCAUGCAGCCAGUACCUCAUCUCAUGCACCUAUGGCUACCACACCAUCACCUAAAACCCACACAUGCACCUCACAACUCACCUAGAGCCUACACCUCACUUCAUAGCUCACCCAUGCCGCCCAUGGUUCACCCAUGGCCACCACAUGCUCACCCAUGGCUCACCCACAACUCACACCUCACCACACACCUUCCACAGUCCGUAUGCAGCCACCACAACCCACAUGCAGCUCAAGGUCUCCAUACAACCACCAAAUGCAGCCUACAUACAACUUAAAGCCACCACAUACAACUCAAAACCACCCCAUAGUCCAUAUGCAACUCAAGGUCUCCAAAUGGCCACUAAAUGCAGCCCACAUACAGCUUAAAGCCACCCCACAAUCCGCAUGCAGCUCAAGGUCUCCAAACGGCCACCAAAUACAGCCCACAUACAGCUUAAAGCCACCCCAUGGCCCACAUGCAUCUCAAGGUCUCCAAACGGCCACCAAAUGCAACCCACAUAUAGCUUAAAGCCACUCCACAGCUCACAUGCAACUCAAAGUCUCCAAACAACCACCAAAUGCACAUACAACUUAAAGCCAUUCCAUGACUUACCCAUGUAGUGGCCACUUUCUAUUCUUUUGGUUUUUUUCUUCUUAUUUUAAUAUGAAAAAUUUAUCUAUUUAUUUAUUUUAUUUAUUCCUUUUAUUAUUCUCAAAUAACUAUUUAAAAUCCCAUUUUUUUUAAUCUAAUAUUCAAAAUACAAAUUUCAAAUGAUUUUCUAAAUUUUCCAAAUUGAAUCUUUAAAAUUCAAUUCUAAAAUAGUUUUCCGAAUUUAAUCCACAAAAUACAAUUUUCAAAUGAUUUUAUAUGUUUUCUGAAUUUAAUCUUUAAAAUUCAAUUCUCAAAACAUUUUCCAAAAUUAAUCUUUUAAAUUCAAUUCUCAAAAUAGUUUUCCAAAAUAAAUUUUUUAAAAAUUCAAUUCUUAAAAUAGUUUUCCGAAUUUAAUAUUUAAAAUUCAAUUCUCAAAACAGUUCCCCAAUUUAAUCUUUAAAAUUCAAUUUUCAAAACAGUUUUCCAAAUUUAACCUUUAAAAUUCAAUUCUCAAUAUAAUUUUCCAAAUUUAAUCUUUAAAAUUCAAUUCUCAAAAUAGUUUUCCAAAUUUAAUUUCUUAAAAAUUUAAUUCUCAAAUAUUUUUCCAAAUUUAAUCUUUAAUAUUCAAUUCUCAGAACAGUUUUCCAAUUUUAAUCUUUAAAAUUCAAUUCUCAAAAUAGUUUUCCAAAUUUAAUCUUUAAAAUUCAAUUCUCAAAAUAGUUUUCCAAAUUUAAUUUCUUAAAAAUUUAAUUCUCAAAUAGUUUUCCAAAUUUAAUAUUUAAAAUUCAAUUCUCAAAAUAGUUUUCCAAAUUUAAUUUCUUAAAAAUUUAAUUCUCAAAAUUUCCAAAAUUUCGAAAUUUCAAAUUCAAUUUUUUUGAAUACCAUUUUCAAAUAAUUUUUCAAAAUUCCAAAAUUUCAAAUUCAUUUUUGUAAAAAAUACCAUUAUCAAAUUUUCCAAAGUUCCAAAAUUCCAAAAUUAUUUUUUAAAACUAUUAUUUUCAAAUAAUUUUCCAAAGUUCCAAAAUUCCAAAAUUAUUUUUAGAACUAUUAUUCUCAAAUAAUUUUCCAAAGUUCCAAAAUCCCAAAUUUAGUUGUUAAAAUUAUUAUUCUCAAAUAAUUUUCCAGAUUUCCAAAAUUUCAAACUUAAUUUUUACUGUCAUCGUUAAAUGAUUUUUCAAAAUUCCAAAUUCCAAAUUUAAUUUUCCAAACUCCCAUUUUCAAAUUUUUUUAAAUUAAAAAAAUGAAUAAGUUUUCAUAAUUUCAAAAUAAUAAAAUUUAUGAGAAUUAAUUCAUAGUAAAAAUAGAUUGGGCUUUGGUGGGAGUCCAACAUUCAUAACUUUUCUUUAAAAAAUAAUUCAAGUAAAUGGUGCGAUCGAUUUUGAUUUGGUUUUGUGUGAGAUUUUUACACUUGUCAUUGUACACUAAUCAUGUUUUCAUAACAAUGCUUUAUUAUCUGCUACCAAGUUAUGCUCUCACUCUCACUUGGUUUAUAUUUCGGUAUCAUGACUUGUUUUUAAGAUAUGAUCAUUUUGGUAUCCAUUGAUUUUCUAGUUAAUUGUCAUGCAUGCUUUACCUUAUUUAGUAGAGACCCAUUUUUAGGGGAUUAGAAGGGUGCUACGGUCUUUAUUGUAUCUUCCUAGUAGGUAACCUGAUCCCCAGACCCAGACUUAGGUUUUUCGUAGAUUGCUUUUCCACAAAAAUCAGGAGUCCUUUUAGGGGUUUUAUUCUUACUUGUUUUCCCCUUUAAAAGUAAAUAAAAAUAAGUGGCGACUCCAAGUAUUUUCUAAAAAUCAUAUUUUUUUCACCAAAUAAACAAAAAACGAGUCGCGUCAUCGGGUGGGAACACAUCGAGCUAAAAAUACGGGGUCCACAAAUUGGCGAAUCCAUUGGGGAUCGAACCCAGAAUCUUUGGUUUCAUAAAAAAUCAAUCUCGAACUUAAGUUGAGGCAAAUAUGACAUUUGAUUAGUCGAUUGAUGGAUACCAUCUCUUUGUGCUUUUCUAUGAUUGAGUGUUCAUAGCAUAUUAAGAUUUUGAUGUGAUGAUUUCCUAUGCUUGACUGUCAUAUUCAUUUGGGACAUUAGUGUGAUGAUGACAUUGAUUGUUUAUCUUGCCUGUCUUAGUAUAGUGAUUUUGAUCUUGCCAUGAUUGUUCUGCUCACCUCACAUGUAUAGACUCAUUGUUGUAUAUCUUUCGAUUGCGUGUGUUGAUUAUCUUGCUUGUAUAUUAUCUUGAUCAUCUUUGAGCAUGCUGUCUUUAUCACUAUUCAUUUUGAUUGUCAUAUUCUCGUUUAGCUUAUGUGUAGACAUGGAUGAUAUAUCUACACUUUGCUUGACUGUUUGUUGCAUGACUGCUCUUCUUUUGUAUGUUUGCAUGUUGUUUGUCUGUGUGAGUCGCACAUAUAUCCUCUUACCUCCAACCCUCUAGUUUUGGUCAUUUCCUUCAUCUCGACUCUUAUUUUUGCAAGUGUGAGGCCUUGUGUGUGCUUGUUUCUCUGACCAAGCAACAAGCUAUAUCGUUGUUUGGGAGCAUUCUACAGAAGGCCAACACAUUGAUGUUGAUUGGAGUAUGAUCUUUGAAGACUUGUAUAGCCUAGAGCUAGGUUUCAUGGAUAUUUGUGUGACUAGUGUGUUUCUUUUUCUAUUUUAGCUUCAUAGGAUUUUCGGAUGCACCCACACCACUCACCGUGCACUUUAGUUGACUAUUGAGUACUGAGAGUUGCGAGAGCUUUCACCAUAAGAAAACACUUGGGAUGUCGAGGUAGUGCAUGUGUGGAUGUAAUGACCACCUUGCAUAGAAGCGCCUCGUUUCUUCGAAGGCAUGCAGAAGGUUGCUUACCACCGAAGGGUAUGAUCACUUCUGCUAGGGAUCCUUUAACCCACCCUAUUAUUUUUAAAGCCACCUUAUCCUUAUAGGCUAAGCUUAGAAUCAAAUUUCACGUGAUUUGUUGCACCAGAAUCAAUUAUCCAUGCACUAUUCAAAAUAGAUGUAGAAAUAUUUAAAACCUUACCACCAUUAUCUACAUCUAUUACUAAUGUUGAGGCUUUUCCAAUAACAUCAUCUUCUGCUUUUGUUUCAAUAACUGCAAUGGUUAAGGUCAUUUUUUAUUUUCUUUGAAUGACUAUGAUCCCACCAUUCUGGAUAUCCUACUAGUUCAAAACAACGACUUUUGGUAUGACCAGCCUUAUUGCAAUGAGUGCAUUAAUAAGUGGACUUAUCAAUACCAUUGAUUGUUUUACCAUUGUUGGCUUGCAAACGAUCUUGUUGAUUCUGAUUAGACUGAUUUUGGUCCAUCAUAGCACUAGCUUUAGGUGUUACAAAAUUGCUUUUCAAAGUGGUGUUAUGUAUGGCAUCUCAUCGAAUCAAAGAGUAGCAUUCCUCCAAGUUUGGAAUUGAGUUCUUGCACAAAAUCUCUCGUCGGAUUUGGUCAAACUCUUCAUCUAAUCCAGCCAAGAAUAUGUGAACUCUCAAUCGUUCAAUAGACCUGUAAUAUGUCGUGACAUCAUCAAGAUCCUUCAUAACCGCCUUAUCAUGAUGGUCCAAUUCUUGGAAAAUUUAUGUCAACUCUCUAUAAUAUACAGAGAGUUUUUUCACUUUGUUUUGCAGAGAAGGCCUUCUAAUUUAGAGAAUACACUUUUAAUUCAUCACUUCCAUCAUAAAAUGAUUUUGACAAUGCAUCCCAAAUUUCAUAGGCAAUGGGCAAUCAUAAGUAACGCUGCAUAAUUUCUAGAGACAUGGACAUUAAAAGCCACAUUUUAACCUUUUGAUUUUCAACUUACCAUUUUUCAUAACCUUCAUCAGACUCCACAUGUGGCUUAGUUUUGCCCCGAAUAUAGGAGAUCUUAUCUCUUUCAACAAUCUGUAUCUCUAUCAAUUGGGACCAUAUGUUAUAGUUAGAUUCUGUAAGAGUGAUUCCGACAUUAAACGUUCAUUUGGCCUGAAUUACAAUACUUUUUUCAUUCAUUUGCUUUAAAGGGUCUUCUUUAUCACUCCAACAGAUUGAGACCUACCUUCAAAAGAUAGGUAGAACAAGGUCAAGAGAUGCAAUGAAAAUUAAUCACGAUGACAACUUAGGCACAAUGGCAAAGCAAGUGAAAAGAAUCAAAAGUCAGUGGUUGGUGAGUGUUGAUCACAAGAACGAGAAGUGGAUCGGACUUGGUCAGAUGCUGAAGUGCCACAUCGAGUUCGCCUUCUCACAAUAAUGAUUUCAUAAUUUUAUGUAAAGCCACGGUUGAUUGUAUUUCGUUUAUUUUUUUAGGCUCUAUUACCGUCUUUUAACAAAUCAUCCCUAAAGAUUGGUUUAGAUUUUUCGCUAGAGUUGCCGAGAAAUUUUUCUGAUAUUCUAGGAUCAAAAUGGAACUAGUUUUCUAAUUUAGGGUAACUUCUGGGUUUGGAUUUUGAAUGAUUAUUAAAAUAAUAAUAAUAAUAAUAAUAAUAAUAAUAAUAAUAAUAAUAAUAAUAAUAAUAAUAAUGGGUUUAGCAACUGAGUGUUUUCUCUUACAUAGUGUCUUCCUCCCAUAUGCAUGUCACUUCCUCUUGUACGACCACUUUGGUACACACUAUCCUCCUCUUGAUGCAUUUCUUUUAUCUUUGUGUGAAUUUAGAUGUUUUGAAUUGGGUUUUCAAACUUCUUUCUAUUUAAAUUAUCUCAAUUUUUAAAUUUCAUCCUUAGACUUUUCUUUUUAGGUCUCUAAAAUAUUUUUAAUAAAUUUAUUGCCAUAUUUCCUUCGGCAUGCACCUUUCUUUUAUUUUUAAUAACUUUCUCGAUUUCCUCAAUUUUUUAGUAACAUGAAUAAAUUCCACAAUUCCAAAAUAAUGGAAUUUUCUCUAACUCUUUUGUGGUCUUUCCUUUAUGAUCAUUAGAAAGCAGGAAAAUGUGGAUGACUUCAUGCAAAUAAAUUUAGGUAGUGGUGGGGCUUGACAUACAUGAUAUUUUCCUUUGAUUAUUGAUUCCAAUUGCUUUGUUUACUACAUAAAAGAUUGAAUAUUUCUUAGCUAUUGUGAUAUACAUGUGAGAUAUUUUACACUUAUCAUUGUGCACUAACUUUGUCUCUCAGUGCUUAGUUUGCCGCUAAGGUAUACCCUCGAAUCAUGAUGAUCAUCCUCAGUAUCCAUUGAUUAAGUAGUUAAUUGUCAUACUUGUCUUAACUUGAUUUGUAGAGACCUAAUUUUAAGGCUUAGAGGGGUGUUAUAACUUACCGUUGUACCUUCCUGAUAGGUAACUGAUCCUCAGACCCCAACUUGGUUUUGCAUAGACCUGUUUUUUCCUUUCUAGGUGUCACACUUAGGGUUUUCUUUCUUUUUUUGUUUUUCCAAAAAUAAUUGGCAACUCUAAAACCAUUUUUAAAAAAAUAAACUUUUCAUAAAUAAAAAGCAAAUCUCUCCAUUGAGUGGAAACGCAUGUGAAAAACAUGGAUUUACAAUUUUGUAUUAAAAAAAAAUCAUAGAAUCCCUUUUUCACAUUUAGUAUUAUUUAAAAAGUAUUCCAUAAAUUUAUUAUAGCAACUUUGACCAUUGGAAGGAUUGCUCGAUCGCUUGAGCCACUUGAGCAUUAAUCCAACCACUCAAGCAAUAAGGCCACUUGAGCGCUAAUCAAAUCGCUCAAGCAUUAAGGCCACUCGAGUGCUUAUCUAAGCGCUUAAGCAUUGCAUCCUGUAGUUGUGCACUUGAGGUUAUUUCUACAACUUUUUUGGCCACCGUUUCUUUGAAAAAUUCACAUUUUUGAACAACUUUUUACACCAUGGAUGUUUGUGAAUGCUUUGAACUUUUAAUCUUGGCUUUUAGGUCACCAAAGACAUAUAAAAACUGAUUUUUUUCAAAGAGAAAGAUCAAAUGCUCUGUCGAAAUAGAGCUUACAAUUCGUCUAAGAACAAAAACCGAAUUUUUUACACCCAAAUAUAAAAAUAAUAAUCCAUAUUUUGUUACAUCAUGUCAUGGUUUUAAGGGUUUUAUCACAUUUAUUAGAUAUAAAAGAAAGAGAAGAAGCAAAAAAUAAACAAAUUAAUGUCUUGUAAAGUUGAAGGAUGAAAACCCUCAUGACAUGAAGACUUUUGCAAGACUAGUUUUCAUAAUGAGGAAGGAUAAGGUCGCACAUCAUGUGGAUUUUCCCAUUGAUAGAUUUGGUGGAGAUUUUAAGACAUUCUUAUUGAAAGAGGACAUAGAGGAUAUUCAUUUUGUAAUUCUACAAUACUUAGAUGAUAUUUCCCUUUAAUCUUAGAUUUAUAAAUUCUCAUUACACUAGAUGGAGAUGGAGGUGAUGGUACUAUUUUGAUUAACGUAGAUGCCAUACCAAUUUUUUUUGGAGUUAUUUAUCAUUUUGUAUAAGGUGUGAACCAUACCUAGAUUGAUUCUGUUGUUUCUUUGCUGUGAAGAGAAAAUUCCAUAUCUAAUAUAAAAAAGUUUGUUGGGGAAAGUGGUAAAGUGGUGGAGAUGUUGACUUAAGAUUGGCAAUAUGGUGGCCUUUUAAAACUUACCCAAAAUCCAUACCAAGUGUUUUUGUUUUUUUUUUCAUUCGUUUUUUCUUUUAUUGGGAAAACAAAUUGAUUUCUAAUUUAGUUAAAUUUGUUUGGGAAAAAUGGUGAAGAUGGUGGUUGCCUUGUGUAUUCAAGUUCCUAGAGAAGAUUGCAAGAUGGUGACAUUUUGAAAUGGCUUAAGAAGAGAUGUUUUUUCAUCCAAAGUUGAUACAAGAUUUUGGAGCUACUCACAAUUUUGCAUAACCUAUGGAUCACACAUAUUAAAUAUUAAUUCUUUAUCUAUUUUGUGAGGAAAAAAAAAAUCAUUUGUGGUCUAAAUAACAUUCAUGAGGGAAAAUGGAGAAUUAUGUUGAAAUUAAAUUAAAUUAUGUUUGUUGUUGAAAUUAAAUUAGAAUGCAAAAACAGCUGUUGAAAUUAAAUUAUGUUUGUUGUUUUCUUCUAGGUUAUCUUAUUUGCAAGGACAUGACGAAUCUUGUUUGUGGAUCUUUCAUGUGACACAAGAUAUGAUAAUAUAGAUGUGAUGUAAAUUGGUGGGACAUUAAUACAAUGACACUUAUAUUGUUGGUAAGUUAAUUUAGAUAAAUUUAAAAUAGUGGUAGAUUUUAACCAGGGAAAAUAUUCCGACUUUGGUAAUAGGUACCUCGGGAGAUAUUUUUUUUAGGGUUAAUUUCUUACCCGAGGUUUUUGCCAAAUAAAUCUUUUUAUUUAUUAUUCUCACUCACAAUUUCUCUUGACGAAAUUUCAAAUCUGUCAUGUGUAUUUAAUUAAAAUCUCAAAAGAGGUAAAUAAAUCAACCCAUUUUUUAUGGAAAUAAAAUUGGGUCUUUUGUUAAUAUGAAUGGUCAAUAUUGAAAUUAUGAAGAAAAAGAACGACUUAUUUCAUAUGGAUGAUUUAUCAAAGUUAACCAUAAAAUUUGCAAAUGCAUUUUGUGAAUAAGCACUGAUGCUUUCUUAUUGUCAAGGUUUGUGUACAAAUUAAGCUCUUUUUAUUCUUACGUGGAAAUGGAUAAUAUAAAAGAAAAUAAAAUAUAAUUAAAAUUAAUUUAAAUUUCUACAUUUUAAAGUUAUUUAAUUUUUAUAUCGAUGAGUUAAAAUAAGUAAAAUGAGAUUGAAAUAGUAAAUAAAAAUAAUUUAUCGAUCUUUAAUUUAUUUUUUAUUAUCCUUUAUUUUUUAUUUUCUUCUACUUUUCUUUAAUAUUUUCUUUCUUUUUUAAUUUUCCCUCAAAUUUUCCGGGAGUCAAACAUAGUCAAAGGGAUUAUCAAGAAAAAAAAAUAUUAUGAAAAAUGAUUUCUUAUGUUUGAUUUUACUAUAUGAUAAAUGCAAAAAAAAAAAAAAAAAAGUGGGAUAUAAUUAAAAUUAUAAAAAAAAAAUUGUAUAUUUUUUAAAUUGUUUAAUCUUUAUAUAAAAUAAUUAAAGAAAUGAAAAAAAAUUAAAAAAACAUAUAAAAAUAAUUUAUUAAUUUUAAAUUUAUUUUUUAUUUUCUAUUUUUACUCUCUACUUUUUAUCUCUUCCACUUUCUUCGAGACUUUCCAAAUCAAACGUGAAAGAAGAAAGAUUAAGAAAAAGGGAAAAGGCAAUAGAUGUCUGUAGAAGUUCACUGAUUGAGAUGCAAAGCCCAUCCGUGACUUGAUCUGAUUUGGCAAAUGUUGGUCCGUGACUUUGCUCUGGACCCAUCAGCCCUUUUGCCGUCCACGUCUUCUUCACAUGGGAUUUUGCAAAAGCUGGUUGAUAAUGAAAUGGCGAACACACGUACCACCAAAACAAUUUUAUAUCAAUUAUCUUCUUAAUUUUGUCUCUAUUUCAAUGUCCAGUGACGAUCAGAAUUUGAAUGCACAAGAAAUGGAUGGAUAAUGAUGUCAUUAAACAUAAUUUAAUUUUUAUUUUAAAAGAAAAUCUUUAUAAAAAGCAAAUAAAUCCAAUGGAAACAGAAAUGUGAAAGGGUUGCAGACCCUGCUUUUGCCUUGGUUAAUGGGAGCGAAGCUGACAGCUUCGGCCUCUGGGUUUGGUGUAUUCAUUGUUAUAAUAUCAAUACUUGUGGAUAGACCUACAGGGGGUGAUGGCUGCUUAGUGCGCCGGAGACUGGAGGGGUAAGGAAAGCAAGCUUCUUCUUGUUGAUGUGAGCCUGGAGGUGGCUAGUGGAAAACUGAUAAUGGGGACACAAAUCCUUCCUUCAUCACAUCUGCUCUGCCUGUUAAUGGCAAUUUUUUUAUCAGGAAUCCAUCAUUCAUGCCAGCUAGAGCCAUCUCAAUCUCAGGCCCUUGUCAAAAUCCGGCAGCUUCUCUACAACCCAUCAGUUGUAAGCAUUUGGGAUUCCAGACCAGACAUUUGCGACCUUGAUCAACUAGAGUCAUCAUCUCAUUCUCUAACACUGGCAUGCUAUGAAGACAGCAUAACCCAGCUGCAUAUUAUUGGGAACAAUGAGCCACUGCCUCAAAAUUUCUCCGCGGAUUCUUUCUUCGCUGCUCUAACCAGUCUCCCAAACUUGAAGUCCUGUCUUUGUGUCCCUAGUAUGUGGGGGCCUUUGCCCACUGNNNNNNNNNNNNNNNNNNNNNNNNNNNNNNNNNNNNNNNNNNNNNNNNNNNNNNNNNNNNNNNNNNNNNNNNNNNNNNNNNNNNNNNNNNNNNNNNNNNNUUCUUCGCUGCUCUAACCAGUCUCCCAAACUUGAAGGUCCUGUCUUUGGUGUCCCUAGGUAUGUGGGGGCCUUUGCCCACUGUAACUGGUAAUUUGUCUUCAUUGGAAAUACUCAAUCUUACUUCCAAUUACUUCAAUGCCACCAUCCCUGUACAAGUAUCAUCUCUGAAGAACCUCCAAACGCUAGUACUAGAGGGUAACAUGUUCACUGGUACUGUUCCUGAUUGGCUGAGUUCACUCCCACUCUUGGCUGUUCUGAGUCUCAAGAACAAUUCCUUUCAUGGGACUCUUCCGGAUUCUUUGUCAAAUUUGAGAAACAUCAGGAUUCUUGACCUUUCAAUGAAUCAUUUAUCUGGACAAGUGCCCGAUCUUCGGAACUUGACCAACCUUCAAGUUCUUGAUAUACAAGAUAAUUUUUUUGGACCUCAAUUUCCUAGUUUGCACACUAAGUUGGUUGCCCUGGUACUCAGAAACAAUCAGUUCCACUCUGGUAUUCCUGUUGAAUUAAGCUACUAUUAUCAGCUGCAAAAACUGGACAUCUCUUUCAACGGAUUUGUGGGACCAUUUUUGCCAUCACUGCUGUCCCUGCCUUCAAUCACUUAUCUAGAUGUAGCAAAGAAUAGAUUCACUGGAAUGCUUUUCCCAAACAUGUCUUGCAAUCCCCAACUUGCUCUAGUGAAUUUGUCCUCAAAUCUUUUGACUGGGGACUUACCUCCUUGCUUACAAUCGGCUCCUAAGAGCCGGGUUGUGGUGUAUGAGAGGAAUUGUCUUUCCAGUGGAGAUCAGGUGCAGCAUCCUUAUUCCUUUUGCAGAAUUGAAGCUAUGGCUGUGAAAAUCUUGCCUCAUAUGCACAAGGAAGAGAGAAGACCAUUUUCCAUAGCAGUCCUUGCAUCAAUCAUAGUGGGAGUGAUUGUUGGAGUAGUUGCACUCGUUGGGUUAGUUUUUUUGGUCAUUAGAAGAUUAAAUGCUCAGAACACGGCAAAGACACCCGCAACAAGAUUACCAUCUGAGCAAUUCUCAACUGUAGAUGCAGCAAAACUGAUUUUCGAUGCAAGUAAGAUUUACGCUUUCCUUUUCUUUUUUUCUCCAGAAUGCUUACAACCUAAGGCUGCAUAUGCUGGACCAUCACUUUCUCUUGCUCUCAAAUAGCAAGAAUGCUAAUUUUGGUGUGAAAGUGCAGACUAAUGAGGGCAUAAUUUUCCCGCAUUCUUCCCAACUGCUUCCUAUCAAAUUUAAUGGAACUACAAUUUUUUACUUCCUAAUUUUUUCCUCAUGCAAGCAGAUGGAUCCUAUUGUGAUUAGGAGAAUCCUAGAAUAUAAACAGAUUUAUGUUACUCUCUUCUGGAAGGACUUAAUGUAGAAUUCCCAUUUAUUUUGUCCAUUAUUUGUUGAACAAUUCAUUCUAAGACUCCAACAUUUUCCUCAAUAAAAAUGAUGGUAUAUUAUGCUAAAUGGUGGACAACCAUGGGCAUUCCAACCUGCAUCCUGUUUUAAUAUUAGCAAUCUUGAGAGUUCCCUGUUUCUCAUGUUCUGCUUGAAGUGAUUAUGGUAAUUUUACUCUGUUGAUGAUCUUGCAUAUGGAGAAUUUGGAUUUGUUUACCGUUCAUAGAUAUUCAUGGAUGUAAAUUUUAAUUUAAUUCAGUUCCAGCUGACAUAUCUAAGAAAAAUAGUAAAGAAAUUUGUACUUAGAAACAUGACAUAUGGCUAUUUGAAAUUCUUGUACUUUCAGGAAAUAUAUCACAAACAAUGAAGCUUGGAGCUCUUGGUCUUCCUGCUUAUCGAACCUUUUUCCUGGAGGAGCUUAAGGAGGCUACCAAUAACUUUGAUGAAUCAAGUCUGAUUGAAGGUUCUCAUGGUCAGGUAAUGCCAUUUUUCUUUUUGUUAACUCCCAUAGUUUUCCUCAUUUAUCUGACUGCCAUGAAACUGCCUUACCUUAAAGUAGGCUUAAAUAGAAGCCCUUUUUUAGCAGAAAGUUCCAUGGAUUAACCAUGUAAAAAUUAAAAAAUAGCAUAUAACUCAAAUCAGCACCAUAGAGCCUUAACCAUCUGAAGAAAAUAAAUCCUGAUAGCUAAACAUGAAGGUUCUUUCUAUGGUUAUUAUCAAAUUAUUCAUGUACCUCCUAACUCUUCUAAAAUAACAUUUGCCUCCAUACUCUUCGGAGGGAAAUUGGAUUGCCUCCCUUCUUGAAACAGGUGUUAUAUUUUGAAGUCAUGUGUGAUCCUUUAGAUGCUUUGAAGUCAUGUCCAAUGAUAGAAGAAGUAAAGGAAGGGGUGACAUGUGUUAUAUUUUGAACACGAGGGAAAAUGCCAUUCAAAAAGAUCAUCACACACGUAUAUUAGAACAUUGAAUGAGCAUGAUCCUUUGGAUGCUUUUUAGUUGUCUCCAAAGUCAUUUUACUUACAGGUGUGAAUGCUCUAUGAAUAAACUUCCUCCUUGCUUGUAGUGGAAAUGUGUUUACCUUUUUUUUUUUUUAUGCCUAAACUGCUACCUUGGACUGGAUUGCUAGCUUGUUAAAGGACUCUUUACAUCUUAUAAUAGUGUUUCAACUGUUAGAUGCUGAUGAAACUAUAUGAUAUGUUCUCACUGAAACAUGAGAAUAUCUGCUGCUUCUGAUAAAAUUUCAGAUAUACAAAGGUAAGCUCACCGAUGGCACUAUUGUUGCUAUAAGAAGCUUGCAAAUGAGAAGGCGCCAACGAAGCCAAUCAUAUAUGCACCACAUUGAGCUGAUUUCAAAGCUUAGACACAGCCAUUUGGUUAGUGCACUUGGACACUGCUUUGAGUGCUUUCCAGAUGAUUCAUGCGUCAGCAGAAUAUUUCUUAUAACUGAGUCCAUACCAAAUGGGACACUAAGGGGCUGCAUCUCUGGUAAAUGAUUGACCAUUACUUAUAUUUUGUAGUUGUUCAUAUCAAGUGAAUAAUAUAUAAUCUUGGUGGAGAAAUCCCUGUUCAUUGGCUCUUCAAACUUCUCUGUGAUUGUUCAUGAAGCCUAUAAGGACUGUGCUCCAUUGUAUGACAUCUUUCAAACAGCUGUUAGAUUGGGGCAUUUCUUACAGCUGCAUGAAAAGACUGAAAUCAUAUGCAAUAAGGAAUAUGUUUCCUCGAAUUGAAAUGAUUUCAGUCUGCUAUGACUAGACCAGGAAAUUAAUAGCAACAUAUACGUGAUUCAUUUUGGGCUAUUGGACCUGUCAUUAAAUUUGUUUGACUGGAUGAGAUUUUGAGGUCAAAACUAGAAGAUAACAGAUGAACUUUUUCUGGACCAAUGCCAUAUUGUUCUAAUCAUUAUGAAGAGUGAUGUCUCAGACACCUAGUGUUGUAUAUUGUGCAGGGACUGUAUGCAAUAUCUUAUUAUUACUGUUUUCCUUUUUUUUUUUUGUUGGUUUUUUCAUUUUUGACACUUGGAAUUGGCAGGAAAUCGAAGACAAAGGCUUAAUUGGACACAAAGGAUAGCAGCUGCCAUUGGAGUUGUGAAGGGUAUUCAGUUUCUUCAUACUGGGAUUGUGCCUGGUUUAUUUUCAAACAAUCUGAAAAUAACAGAUGUUUUGUUGGAUCAUAAUCUUCACGUCAAAAUCAGCAGUUAUAACCUCCCUUUGUUAGCCGAAAGUAGGGAACAGGUGGGGCAAAUCUGUACUUCAUAUAGCUGGAUAUUUUUUCCAUUAAAGCAUAUACUCUGAGUUGAUAGCUUGCUUUGUAAGCCUUUCAGGUUGGUGUUGGUGUUUCUUCUUCUGGACUAAAAGGAAAUGCACAGGCAAGGUAUGACUGAUUUUCUUUUUUCUUUUUCUCAUGGUGCUUAAGUCAGUGUAGUAAAACUAAUAAUUAUAAGGAGAAUGUUAUUUGGCCACCAACACUUUAGAAAACUUUCUUUGUUGUUGAGAUUCCAGAGGCAUGACCCCAAACAAUUGAGCUACUCGUUUGUGUCAAAAGAUACAUCUUGAAUUCAAUUGAAUAUGUAGGAUCAUUGGGGGUAAUUUUGUUCUCUUUAGAGCCAUAUAUACAACAACAAUCUUAUAACAUCAUGUUUUUUUAUUGCAACCUCAACUUCUAAUUCUUGGUAGCCUUCCUUUCUUACCUUUUGAACAAAUUGGUCCAACCCCUGCCUUCUGAGGCAUCUAUUUUAGUCUUUGUUACUGUCACUCAUCAAUCUCAAGUUUCUAAUUUCUGUUACAAAUAUGUUUAUGACCUGCUGUUUCUCCGGUGAUCAGUAGAAAAAAAGAAAAAAAACUCAUAAGGUAAAGCUUGACUUAUCUAUCUCAUAAAAUUCCUACGUAACUUGAUAGAUAUUGAUGGUCACGAGAUACUCCAAAAGCAUUUUUGGCUUCAUCUGUCUUGUUUUAUUCUAUGGGUAGUCAUUUAAUCUUGUUUCACUCAUGAAAGAUUCAGAGUAUCAUGAAUGUUAGCAUCCUUUCGUAGCUCUCUCUCUCUCUCUCAUAGAUUCACACUUUACACUCUACAAUCAGGUUGCCAUUCUCCACUUUCCACAUGUGUUGUUUUUCUAAGCACCCACAAUUUGGAGUACAAUGCAGUCAAAAGUGAAACAUGGACAGAAUUACUAAAUAUUUUGUAUCAUUCUUUUCCAAUGCAGAGCUGCAGUGGUAUAUUUCCUUUUUAAAAAAUCAAUGAGCGUGGGGUGGCAUGCUAUUCUUUGAAAAUUGCCUCAACAAUUAUAUCAGAUAUUUCUUUGAUUAUAUUCUCAAAUUUUCUACGGCCAUUUACAGGGGCAAAGAUGGGGAUAAGAAUGAUGUCUAUGACUUAGGAGUAAUAUUACUCGAAAUCAUUGUUGGAAGGCCAAUCACUUCCAAAAAUGAUGUAGUUGUUGCAAGGGAUCUUGUAAGUGUUCUUUUGGCCACAUUAUUCAAUAUCUUUUUCUGUCAGAACCCUUUUCUUAUCUGGGCAAUGGUCAAUUUCCUUGACAUGGCAUUGACCAACCGAGCAAAUAUAUGUUAGAGCUAUGGCAAGUGAUGUUACAUGGUUGCUGAAUCAUGACAUUGAAUUCUUUUUGGUCUCGGUGCAGUUAAUAGUAGGCAUGAAAGCUGAUGACAUAGCCCGAAAGACUAUAAUGGAUCCUGCAGUUGGUAAGGAGUGGUCAGGUGAAUCAAUCAAGACGCUGAUGGAGAUCUGCAUCAGAUGUCUGCACAAUGAACCAAGUGAGAGGCCUUCAGUUGAGGAUGUCCUUUGGAACUUACAGUUUGCAGCUCAGGUUCAGGAUUCAUGGAGGGGAGAACCCCAGAGCAAUCUUCAGUCACCUGACUUGUCUUCACAAUGAGUGUAAUCCUAGGAGCCUGUAGGAACAUAUUGCUUUUGCCUUUUUUGGAGCUUGUUCAAAAGAUCGGAUCAGUUUCAUCCAAACCAACUUCUGUUGACCUGAUCAUUUGAAAUAGCCUUGAAUAAAAGGAGGUUCAAGAGGAUUGAUUAAGUAACAAUUUGAUAUGGCAUAGAGCCUUAAUUUUGAGAAGUGCUUUUUCCCUGUCUAACAUGCCCUUGGCAUAUGAAGUAAGGUGUUAAAGUGUUCGAGGAAUUAAUAUAAUAUUAGUAGUCUAUUACCUAAAAGUUUGAACUUUUCGGUCAACUGUUAAAGAAAUAGGGAGAAUUAGGCCCUCUUUGGCAACCGAUGUUUGAAAACAAUUUUCUAUUAUCCAAAAUAUAAAAACUGGAAAACACGUUUGAUAAUAAAAAAUAUAUAUAUAUAAAAUGGUUCUCUAUUCUUAAAAAUAAGAAAUUUUCAAAGAACAUCUUUUAAUUGUUUUAAGUUGUUUUCACUUAUUUUCUAAAGAACGUUUUAAAAAAUAAUAUAUAAAUAUGGAGAAUGAUUAAAAAUAAAACAUUACAAAUAUAAGUUAUUUUUAAAACAUAUUUAAAAAUAUAAGAAAAAUGUUAACAACAUUAAAAAUUUCAAAACAUUUUUUUUUUCUAAAAAAAAUUAGAAAAUAAUUUUAAAAAAUAAUUUUAAAAACUUGUUAUUAAGCUAAAAGCAAGGAAAUGGAAGAAAAUAAAACCCUUUCUCAUUAAACAAAAAAAUUAAAUUAAAAAUACAAAGACAAGCUAUAUAAAGAGCUUAAUAACAACUCAAUAACAGUUGUAACAAAAUAACAAAAAAAAGUUGCAACAAACAAAACGACAACAAACAAAAUAUGUACAUGACCUAAUACUCUCCCUCAAAAUGGACUGAGAAUGUCCUUUACAACCAUCUUGGAUAAAAAAGGAAACAACAAAGAAGAAAGCAAAACUUUGGUAAAAACAUUAGCUAGUUGAAGUUGAGAGUGAAGAGGCAUUACCUUGAUGAAACCAUCAGCAACUUUAUCACGAACAAAAUGACAAUCGAUCUCGAUAUGUUUGGUCCUCUUAUGAAAAAAAAGAAGAUUAAAAGCAAGAUGAAUGACAACUUGAUUAUCACAAAACAGAAGUGUAGGAAAGGAAAUAGGAACUUGAAAGUCCUUCAGCAAUUGGCGUAGCCAAACCAAUUCACUAGUAGUAGAAACUAAAGCCUUUACGGAGGAUCGAGAAACUGUGGUUUGGUUCUUAGCUUUCCAAGAGACCAAAGAAUUACCAAUAAAGAUGCAAAAACCAGUGACACAUUUUCUAGUAUCUAAACAAUAGCCUCAAUCAGCAUUUGAAAAAGCUUUCAAUUGGAGAAAAAAUAAAGAAGAAAAGAAAAGGCCUUGACCAGGAGUGGACUUAAGGUAUAGUGUAAAAGAUGAUAAACGACUUGCAAGUGGAGUAAUCUAGGUAGAGCUAAAAACUAAGUUUAUGGACAACAAAAGUAAUAUCAGGCCAAGACAAGGUGAGAUACAGAAGACGACCAAUAAGCCUUCAAUAUUGUGAAACAUCAGAAAGAACAACACCAUCAUGAGCUUUCAGUUAAACCUUAAGAUCCAUAGGAACAUAUGUAGGCUUACAAGCAAGAUACCGAGUGUCUUCAAGGAGUUGCAGCGUGUGAUGCCUGUGGCAGAUUGAGCGAUUUCAAGUCCAAGAAAAUAUUUAAGACAUCCCAAAUCCUUGAGCUUAAACUGAGUAUGAAGAAAAGUUUUCAAAGCCUGGAUCACUUGAGUGUUUGGACUAGUGAUGAUGAUAUCAUCCACAUAGACUAAUAAAGCAACAAAUGAAGAUCCAAAUCCUUUGGUAAACAAAGAAUGAUCAAACUUGGAUUAGACAAAGCCAUAUUGGAGAAGAAUAUGAUAAAAUUUGGAGUACCAUUAUUUGGAGGCUCGCUUGAGACCAUAGAUUGACUUAUGAAGCUUACAAACCAAUCCAUUCUCCUGUUUAAUAGUCUCCUUCUAUUUACCAUAAGGAAGAAGAAGAUCCACAUAAACUCCUUCAAAUGGCAUUGUUCACAUCAAGUUGAACCAAAUGCCAUUUUUGACUUGUGGCAAAAGCCAACAAAACUAACAGUAACCAACUAUGCUACAGCAGAGAAAGUCUCAAAGAAAUCCAAGCCUUCUUAUUGAGUAUAGCCCUUAGCAAUUAACUGGGCUUUAUUUAAUGGUGAAACAUCACAAUGUAAAUGAUUUUUCAAAGCAUCUAAACAUUUGAAAGAAAGAUGGCCAAGUCUAUUGUGCCAUACAUGAGCUGAAAAAUUGUUCACAAAAAUUGUAGAAGCAGACUUCAAUGUAUCUGUAUCAAGAAUAUAAAGAUCUUCAAACUUGUCACCCCUUCCAAUCAUCUUCUUGGUGUUGAGUUCUUGAAUAAUGAAGCAAGUAAGAAGAAAGUUAACUGUAAGCUGGAAACUACAAGUAAGAGCACUCAUAGAAAUCAAGUUAAACUUGAACUGGAGAACAAAUAAGACAUCCUUGAGGGUGAGCUUGGAACUUAAUGUAACAUCACCACAUAAACUAACAGGAAUCUAAAUAUGAUUGGGCAAAGUAACAAUAUAAUUUUGUAUAGGUCUAAGAGAAACAAAGGUAGUAGCACUAGAACAUAUAUGUCUUGUGGCACUUGAAUCAACUAUCCAAAAUUGAGUGGAGGAAAAUAUAGGAUUCAGAGAAAUUGAAAGACAAAUACCUGCAUUGUAAGAAGUAGUUGGAGUAUCCUAAUGGUCAUUAUUUGGCUUAAUAGAUAAAGCUAAAUGAGUAGAAAACAUAGAAAAAAGUUGCUAAUAUUGAUUAGGAUUAAGAUUCUGAAUGAAAUCUCUAACACCACCUAGUUGAUUAGUCUUGACAGUAGAUUUAGAGAAUGACUAGUUUGAUACUUGAUUAACAACAAUGUUAUUGUUGGAAUAAGUAGGAUUAUUCCUCUGCCUAGGUUUGUAAUCAAAUGGACAUCCAUGUAUUUUGUAACAUUUAUCAAUGGUAUGACCAUGAAAGUUGCAAUGAGUAUAGAAAGGUAUAUUUUUUUCUGUCCUUUAUAAUCUCUAGAAGCCUUAGAAUUAUCAGUCUUAACAACAAAAGCCAUGGUUCCAGUAGAAUCUAAACUAGUAUUAAUAUGGUUACCAAUUUUCUUCUAAUGUUCAUUUUGAGAAAUUAAGGAAAACAUUUUAUUUAUAGGGGGUAAAAUAUCCAUAAGAAGCAACUGUCCUUUGACUUGAGGAAAUGAGUCAUUUAAUCCGAUAAGAAAAGACAUGAUAUAUUUCAUUUGAUAGUGAGAAUGGAGAUUCUUCACACCACCACAAGUGCAUUUACUACAAGUAUAAAUUGGCCUAUAAUUGCUCAAUUUCUCCCAUAUAGUCUUCAGUUUAGUAAAAUAUGCACUAACAAAGUAAUGAUCUUGAACCAAAUUCAUCAAUUCAUGUCUUAAUUGAAAAUUUCUAAGUCUAUUCCUCUGUUGAAAGCAAUCUUUGAGAUUAAGCCAAAUCUCUCUAGUCAAAUCAACAAAUAUCACACUAGUAGAAAUCUCCUUAGAAAUAGAGUUUAAGAUCCAAGAGAUAACAAUAUUGUUAUUCAUAGUCUAAGAAUGAAAAAAAUCUAGAUUAGUACUUUUGGGUUUGACGAUCGAUCCAUCAACAAAUCCUAGUUUAUUCUUCACAGACAAAACAAUCAGUAUCGAUCUACUCUAGGAGGCAUAGUUAUCUCUAAUGAGAGGUUACAAAACAAUAACAAGUCCUGGACUAUUUGAAUGAUGAAGAAACUAAGGACUAGAAAGUUCAUCAAUGGUAGAUUUGUUUAAAGAUGACCUAGAAUGAUUCAUGUUUUUAGAUGAUGGAGUCUCCAUAACAAUUGAAAAAAAAAAACAACAAUACUCAACAAUUUUGAAGAAAAACGAAGAUCAGAAGAAUCAGAGAUGAGAAAUUGUAGCAAAUUGUAUCAAAGCUCUGAUACCAUAUUAAGCUGAAAGUAAGAAAAUGGAAGAAGAGAAAACCCUUUCUCAUUGAACAAAAAAACUGAAUUAAAUAUACAGAGACAAAAAUUAUAUAAAGAGCUUAGUAACAACUCAGUAACAACUUAGUAACAAUUGUAACAAAAUAACCAAAAAAAAAAAAAGUUAUAAUAAACAAAAUAUCUACAUGACCUAAUACUUGUUUGUCAUAAUUGUUUUACAAAACACUUUCUAAACAAGCAAUGAUUUAAAGAUAAUCUUCAUAGACUUGGAACUGUUGACCACACUGUGGGACCUAGACAUGGGUGUGCUUAACAUCCUGUAACAACUCCAAUGACCAACUCAGCUCUCAUAGAUCUUAUCGGGCAUAUACUUAGUUGAGAAUCAUAGUGCUAAUUGUAGAGGGGCACUUGGCAAACUACCAGAGGACCAUGUGUUGUCCAAGUUGGCCAAUAUGUAACUAAAGCUUAGGCCACCACAUUUCCAACACUUCUUCACCAACAAGAUUUAAUCUAGGAAUGUUCAAAUUUGAGGUAAAACACUUCUCUUCUAGAUCCAAAGUUUUCAUAUGCAUAUAUGCUUCCGCUGCUAGGAUCUAGAGAAGUCCUAAGAUUAUUAGCAUAUACCUUAACUAGAUCAGAGAUGAGAAUGUUGUAAUCUAGGUUCCCCUACACCAUUUUCUACAAACCCAUCCUGGAUUUUUUUUUUUUUUUUUAGUUUACAUGAUUUAUGAAUUUUACUAUUCAUUGGCAAUAAGAAUGCAUCUAGUAUAUCAUGUAAAUACAUUAGUGAUAUGUUAACAUAAAAACCUAUAUGGUAAGAUAAGAUAUUAGCAUCUAACACUAUUUACACUUGUCAUAAGAAGUAGGUAUGACAAAUAUGUGUUAAACUUAUAAUGCAAGUACACUAAAACUAUGAUGCAUUAUAACAUGGCCUAAUUUUUAUUUUUAUUUUAACAAUUAUUAACAAUUUUUUGUUAUGAUAAUAUUCUCUUGAUAGUUACAUUGUGAAAUUGUUAGCAAGCCUUCACAUAGCUAUUCUUGGUGUUCACUUAAAUAGUUUGGGAACACAAGCAUAUUCUAGAAAGAUUAUUGCAAUUAAUUCUAACAACCUAACUCUAUAGCAUGAGCUAGUCAUCACCCAUGGUGAUCACAAGCAUAACUAAAGAUUUGUUGUAACCUCCCAACAUUUUUCUCCCUUGUCCAUAUCAAGGAAAAAAUAAACAAAAAAACAUUCUCCUUGUUGAUCCUAAUAUUUUCUUCUCUCACCUACUUGCAUAUUGUUCUCUUCAUAAGUUGUUCUAUUUUGUGAAUUCAAACCCUAAGAUUAGGUAUCUAAGAGUAUGUUGUCUUGAGUUCAUUUCCAUAGUAGACACCUACCCAGAAACUAACUUUAAAGGAUGAAAUUGGUCUAAAGGACAAUUAAUUACUAUGUCUGGACUUCUUUAAAUCAUUUUCUUUCUCAAUCUUUUUUACUAUUAGUAUUCAUUUUCGUUAAACCUAUUGAAUAAAUUCAAUACUCUUGUAUUCAAAGCACUACAUUUCCAAUGCUGAAACGGGUUUUGGGAUCGAGCUUUUCCCUAUGCUUCAUGCAACACCUAUACAAUAAAGUUUAUUUUUGACAAAUUUUCCUAUGAUAGACACUAAUGAUUUUGUCACUCCCCUUUCUUUUGAAAAAGAUUUAUCUACUUAGGUCUCUAUCACUACUACUAUAUUUGAGAAGGUUCCGAUUGUUAUACUGAGGAGAUGCUUAUGUCUAUGUCAAUUGAAACAUCUCUUAACCUUACUAAAGGAGUUGAGUUUCAAGCACUAAAUUCAUUGCUUAUGUUUAUUGGGUUGGAUAAGGUAUAAGACAUAGUCGUGCUUCAGUUAACCAAGGAUGGACACAAUUUUAAAGGGUAUAGAGUUAAUGAUUUAAGAGGGUAAACUAGUUGACUGUGGCUAUGCAAUAGCUCCAGUCAUUGAUUGAGGAAAUGGACAAUCAUAUGAAGGAAAUGUUUUAAGUAAAGGGUAUGUAUAUAGAUGAGUUAUUUGAGGAGGGAGGAUUCUACAAUUGCAACUUGAUUUUGGAGGUUGACCAAAACAAGAUAUUUUCUAAGACUUUAAUUGACAUUUAAAGGGACCCUUAGGAGACUCUAGAAACAUUCAAGGAGAUGGAGACUUCCACUAGAAAUAUUUAGCUACGUAUUGAGACUUCAUUGAUUCCCCCUAGCUUGGAGCCCACUUUUAGACCAAUUCUAGUUUAUACCAAGGUUCCACCUAUGUGACCAUUAUUGUUGCUAUUUAUCCUUCAUUAGUUGGGAGAAUAUGAUUUUAGAUUUUUAUUUUGAUUGUUAUUUUUUUUUUUUUUUUGGAUUUGUCAUACUAUAUACUUGGUUACAUUUUGGUUUAUUUGGGAUUUGUCAUACUAUUAGUGGUAAGUUGAGUUGUAGCACUUUGGAUAUGGCAUAAAUGCGUUUAAAUUGUUUUAUUGCUUAUAUUAAACUCAUUGAUUGUUGCUAAUUCAAAACAAAAUCAACUUUUAUCAUCAAAGAAUUGAAACAAAAAAUGAAAGAUUAAUCAAAUUCAUAUUUAAAUUAAUCAAAAUUUGAAAUUCAGAUUUAACAUUCAAAUUCAAAUCAUAAGGUCUUAUUUAGAUUAUUCCCAAUCUUUAUUUUUUGAUUCAAUUACCUAUGUAUCAAUCCAUCUUUUAAGAUUCAUGUUAAUCUCGUGCACAAUCAAUCAAAUAAGUUAUUUAAUGAUUAAGUGAUGAUUAAUCGUUAUUAGACCAAGUAAACAUUGAUUGUCUAUUGAUUAAAAAAGAACAACUAAAAAACAUCUUAAUCAAAUCAAAAUAAAACUUGAAACAAGAGUGAGAGUGUAGUAUUAUCACCAAUUUAUGCCUGUCUAUAGUGAUAUAUGUUUAACUUUCUUGAUCCUUUCUUUAAAUGAAAAGUAAUCAACCUCUCAUAGUAGAAGAUCUCUUGUCAAAAAUCAUGUUUAGUUGACAAGAAAAUAAAAGUGGAGGAAAACUAAGAAAAUAUGAAAUGCAAAUGGUAGAAAUAUCUACAACAAUGUUUCUCCAAAAUCUCUAAAGUUGGAAAAGAAAUUCAAAUGAUAACCACCUAAAAGAAAAAGAAAAAAAAAACAGAAACAGGAAAAAAAAAUGAAUGAAUAGAAAGAUCGAAUUAUUAUAGUAAAUUCAAUCGAAAAGGAGCAAUCCUCAUCUAACCAAACAUGCCACAUAAUCAAGUAGAAUCAUAGUAAAAAUCUAAGCAAAAAUUAUUUUUGGAGGGUUACAACUCAAAAACAUAAAUCAACUAUUCAAAUCAUUUAUUUUGAUUUCUCUUGUAGAUGAAAUCAAAAUAUUUGAUUUCCCCAAGAGGUUAGUCAACUUUUGCCUCUCUUCGAGCAAUCAAUCCCUAAUAAUAAUAAUAAUAAUAAAAAGCCUAUGUGAGCCUCUCCUAAAUUACAAGAAGAGCAAAAAUGAUGGGUAAAGGAUUAGUUUACUUUGUCUAAGAUGAAUUUGAUUUAAGGGUAUAGCUCACUCAACUUAGCUUCAUGGGAUGGCAAUUUGAAUUUUGAAAGCUACAAGUUGAAAAUAGCAAAAUAUAACAAACAUCUAAGGCCUUUUGAAAAGCUAAAAGGGGUUGUACAAGGGAGAUUGUUGAUGAUACUAAAUAGUUUUAACAUCAUUUUCUAUAGAGAGGUAGAAAGGUAAAUGGGUCUUCAAUUUCCUUUCAAGAGAAUUGUCUUAUUCAACAAUCAAACUUUCUUGGAAGUAAGUUUUUCUAUGACUAGGAACUAGCAAUGUUCACUUCCACGUUGGGGAAGACAACAUUGAACACAUGAUGGAGAUGAAGAAAUUGAGCUAGAUUUAAAUUGCCUACCAAGGUGAGAUAGUAUAGAGAUUUGAUGGAAACCACUCAAUGAGCACAUGGAUACAAGGGUUUGAUGUUGAAUCGGAAAAACUCGUUUAACUCGAUCAAAUUCCUUAGAUGCCUUAAUUGUCCUAUUUAUUUUCUUUGAUGGCAGACAACGAGUCUAAUACAUCUCUAUAAUUCACAUGGGUGGGUGACCAAUGCUGCAACAAUGCCUCUACCUCUAUAUUUGCUCUUUUUUUCUUUUUGUUUGAAAUUUUGGAUUUGUAAAAGUGAGCAAUUAGGAAUGGAUUUAGCAAAUUUUGACAUGUAUUCCUUGAAAAUGAAUCCCAAUGAUGAAUGACACCUAUAGGGACAUAUAUUAUCUUUUCAUUUGAAUCCUCACAAUUUAUAUAUCUCUCUUCCAAUCACUAUUCAACAAAGGAUAAAAAACGUAAGCAAAAAUAAAUACAACAACAAUCUCUCAACAAUCUAUCAAUGAAAAUCACAUACAAAUGCUUCAACACUUCCCAAGAUUAAUUCAUAAGACUAAUUAUCUCCCAAAUACAUUUCCAGUUACUACUUGAUAUCAUUAAUAAUAUGAACAUAAAAAUUAUUCAAGAAUAUACAAAAGGUAAUCAUACUAAUUUCAGCUCAUAUUUCAUUCUUUCAACAAACAUUCUCAAGUAAUAGAGGAUAACAAAAAUUGGACAUAAAUCAAAGAGUAGAAUUAAAGCAACAAAGACAAUGGUAACAUAUUUUACGUGAAAAUCUCCUAAGAGAUAAAAAAAACCAUGGGCCUACCAAUAAUAAAAAAUUCCACUAUGAAGAACAACCAAUGUGUACAAGGAUUUACCUAGAUUUAAGUCCACUAAUCUUUCAUGGAGUACUUGACCAACAUCUUCUUGCUUAGAAUUUUGAAUUUCUUCAUUCCCUUAUCUUAGAUCCUAUAGGUGCAUGCAAAACUACCCUAGGCCUCUAGAUCCUAUGCAACGGAAACAAAAAACAUAUUUUUACUAUUCUAAGAUCAAGAGAAAAGUCGUUAGAUGACUUUACCUUUGAUUUGGAUGUUCGUAAAUCAAUUUCACUCGAUGAAAAUGAAGAACAAUGAAUCUAGAAGUCUCGUACACCCAAGAUCUUCUGCUUGAUGACUUGAACCAUGAUCUUGGCACACCAAAGUAUGGGCUUUGGAAGAGAGAAUCACUUGACUCUCACUAUCUCUUUCUUUCUCUGGAGGUGGAAGACAAAGUCUCUCUCAAGAUUAUGGAAACCCUAGCCCCUAUAGGGCUAUUUAUAUGGUUCCCUUACUAGGCUUAAGUGACUUAAGCCCACCAAGGCUUGGGUCACUUAAUCUAGCCCAAAAUGGGUUUUAAUUGAUUAAUUAACCAUACAAGGCCAUCUAAUUAAUCAAUUAGCCAAAUCUAGAGAACUUGUUCACCAUCUCUUAUGCAACUUUACGUAAUUAUCAAAACACCCUUAUACACAAUAAUGAACCAAGAGCUAGUUCAACUAUCAUAAAUCGUGUCAUCAUGGUAAAUGAGCUUAGAACGGGGGCCACUAAGACCUAAUAAGUACUAGCUCCCUUAUAAUCCAAUUCUAAAGUUGAUUCAACAUUCCACUAAAGAGAAUCAAUUGCACUCUAGUAUCCUAUGUAAAUAACAAUGAGACAAAGCUUGAAAUCUGUGACCUACUAUCCAUGGCAUGCAGACUCCCCAUGAAUAGGUGUCCAUAAUCUAACAAGGUAGUACUAUCACUUAUCAAUAUUACAUCUUCAAUCCUUGAGUUACAAAUCUCACUUAUUAUGUGAUCAACUGACAUACUCUAGAUUCAAAGAGCACAUGGCAAAUUCCACUAAAGGAAUUAUUAUGGCCACAGAUUUCAUGAUCAUAUGUCCUUUGGAUCACCCAAAGAGACACACUAUCUCAAUCCAUGAGAUAUCAUGGUGCCUCUAUUGAGAAUACCUAUUGCCACCAACCUCCAUCAACAGUGACCCAAUCCAUAGGGAUAUAUGACUACUUUACGGUCUUACCCAUAGGUUAAAGCUUUUUGUUAACUUUGGUACAAGCUCAAUAUUCUCUCAAGGUUGAGAGCCUAUGCAGUAUGCUUGGUGAAUCAUGACAAUUGAUAGCCUUGAGUUAUGAUUCAUAACCUUGUGUCAUGAUUCAUCGUAAGUUCUGUCUAAUGCACAUCACAUGCACUAGUACACUCACCAUGGGAAAACCAUCUUGACAAUCAAAACAAGUCAUCCUUCCAACUAGGAUGUAGUGCAUUACAGUCUUAGAUGGAUAACCUAAAUCCAUGAACUGACUGUGGACAACUCAUCACUCUACAAGGAACCCAUAACUUGGAUCUCUUGUGCAACUCCUAAUAUACCCAAGUCAUGUACAAUGUAAGUGAUAUGGGGUAUAUAUGUUCAAAUAACCAAUUAAUACAAAUGAGAUAUGUAAGGGAAACCAAGAAAUAUAAAUAAAUAAAUUUAUAAAUGAAUCUCAAUCUAUUACAUCAUGUCAUGCUUUCUAGGGCUCAAUCCUAACAAACUCCCACUAGCCCUAAAGCAUUCUAGGAACACAUUUGACACCUAAGCUAUCCCUAUGACGAUCAAAGACUCUAAUAAAUAAAGUCUUUGUAAAGGGAUUCGUCAAGUUCUCUGUAGAAGCGAUCUUCUCUAUAGCCAUAUCUCAUCUCAUUACUAUCUCACGUAUCAAGUGAUACUUCCUCUCAAUGUGCUUACCCUUUCGAUGGUUUAUUGGUUCUUUAGAUUGUGCCACCGCCCCCACUAUUGUCACAAAAUAGUACCAGGGGCGGUAUAGCCAAGGGCACUACCCCAAGUCCCAAUAAGAACUUCUAAAGCCAAACAACUUCUUUUGUUGUUUCAAAAACAGCAACAUACUCGGCUUUCAUAUUGGAGUUAGCAAUGCAAGAUUGUUUUACACUUAUUCAACUAACAACCCCACUACUUAGAGUAAACACAAAAUCCGAAGUAUACUUGAGAUAGUCUUUAUCAUAUUGAAAGUCCGAGUUCGUAUACCUAAGAGGUAACAACUCAUCGCAAUGAUACACCAACAUAUAAUCCCUUGUUCUUCGAACAUACUUGAGUAUAUGCUUGAUUGUCGUCCAAUGCUCCAUGCCUGGAUUGGACUGAUAUCUACUCACUAUCCCUAUAGCAAAGCGAAUAUAUGGUUUAGUAUAUUACAUCUCACACAGAAGGUUACCCACCGCAGAAGCAUAGGGUAUUACCUUCAUGUGAUCUUUCUCCUCAGUUGUCUUAGGACACUGAUCCUAAGAAAGAAGCAUUCCAUGCUUAAAGAGUAGCAGACCUUUCUUAGAGUCUUGUAUCACAUACUUGACCAAAAGCUUAUCAAUGUAGGUGACCUAAUACAACACAAUCUUUCUAUUCUUGUGAUCCCAAAAUAUCCUUAUCCCAAGAAUAUAUUGUGCCUCACCCAGACCUUUCCAUUUGAAACUGAGUAGAUAACCAGAUCUUGACUAGCUAAAAUAACCCUACAUCAUUCCCAAUGAGUAAAAUGCCACCAACAUACAAGACCAAAAACACCAUCAUGUUUCCCUACGUCUUCUUGUAUACACAAGACUCAUCCUCAUUUUGAUCAAAAUCAAGAGUUUGAUAGCCUGAUCAAAAAGCCUAUUCCAUGAGCGAGAUGUUUGCUUUAAUCUAUAAAUGGAUUUAUGUAACUAGCAUACAAGGUGCUCUUGGCCCUUUUCUAUGAAUCUGUUUGGUUGCAUCAUAUAGAUGUUCUCUUCAAGAUCACCAUUCAAGAACAUUGUCUUGAUAUUCAUUUUCCAUAUCUCAUAAUCGAGAUGUGCUGCAAUGGACAAGAGUAUUCUAAUGGGCUUGAGCAUGGCUACUGGUACAUUUUCUCAUAGUCAAAACCAGGUUUUUUACUAUAACCCUUUGCUACCAGCCUAGCCUUAUACUUCUCAACUUUUCCAUCUACCAUUCUUUUCCUCUUAUAAACCCAUUUACACCCUAUGGGUUUUGUCCCUUCAGACACUUCUUCAAGAUCCCAAACUCCAUUAGAAUACAUAAAUUCUAACUCUGUCUCCAUAGCUCCUUGCCAAAUAAUAACAUCAUCAUUGUUCAUUGCUUCAUUGUAAUUUAUGGGAUCGGUCUUAUGUUUCUCUAGAAUUGCCUUGAAAGACUCUCCUAAAUACAUGAACCUAUCUAGUUGCAUAACAAUUCUCCCAUUACGACGAGGCAUUGAUGUACUAGAACUAACUAAAAUGGUAGGUGUAGGAAUCUCUGGACCCAUAGUCCCCUAUGCUAAUGUGGGAGUGUCUUCAAGUGCUUUCCAAUCUAUAUCACAUCUUGUCCUAUUACUCAUUAUAUAGUCCUCUUCCAAAAAUUAGACAUUUGUACUAAAAAAUACCUUUGCGGUCGACUUGACUAUAAAAGUAAUGUCCUCUUGUUCCUUUUAAAUAGCCUUCAAACUGACAUACCUCAAACCUUUGGUUUCAACAUGUGUACUGGACACCCCCAAAAGUGAAUGUGUUGCAAAUUGGGUUUACGACCUUUCCACAUCUCUCUAGGAAUUAAAGGUACCGACUUAGAAGACACUAGGUUGAGAAUGUGUGUUGUAGUUUCCAAGGAAUAUCCCUAAAAUGCUAGAAGAAGUGAUGAGAAACUCAUAAUAGAUUUCACCAUGUCCAUCAACGUUCGAUUUCUUAUUUCUGCUACUCCAUUUUGUUGUGGAGUUCUAAGUGCACUCAACUGGGAUAUAAUCUUGUGCUCCGUGAGGAAAAAAUUGAACUGAGUAGACAUGUACUCUCCGCCUUGAUAAGAUCGAAGUGCCUUGAUACAUUUAACCAAUUGGUUUUCUGAGUCCACCUUAAAUUCAAUGAGUUUGUCAAAGGCAUCGGACUUCCUAUGCAUCAAGUAAACAUAUCCGAACCUAGAGUAAUCAUUUGUAAGCAUGAUGAAGUACUCAUAUCCUCCUCGUGCAUGGACAUUAAAAGAUCCCCACACGUUAAAAUGCACAAACUCUAAACACUCCUUGACUCUAUAUCCUUUAGCAGUAAAGGGUCUUUAGGUUAAUUUUACUUUUUAUAUAGGAUUUGUAGACUGGAAGAUCCUUUGGAAUUAAAGGAGGUAAAAUUCCCCACUUAACCAGUCUUUGGAUCCUGUUUAGAUUAAUAUGACCUAGGCAUAAGUGCCAAAGUUGUGUUGGAUUAGUGUUAGAUUCCUUUCUUUUAUGUGAGAUAUGACAAUUUUCAUUACUUGGCAAAAUAGAUAAUGGAGAACACGAUAAAGACUAUCUAUCAAUGAUCCUGAGCAUAUAAACGAAUUAUUCAACUUAAUAAAAACCCAUUUUUUAUUUUUUAUUUUAAAAGAAUAAUUCAGCUUACAAAGACUAGAAAUCAAAAUCAAAUUCUUCCUAGACUCAAAAAUAUAAAGACAAUCUUUUAAUGCUAAGAAGACUAUUAUUAGAAAAAAUAAGGGUAACAUCUCCCACUACCUCCAUAACAAAUCUUGCUUCAGAAAUUAAUGUCAAGUACAUAUCCCCAUCAUUCAACAUUGUCCUUACCUAAAACCCCUGUAAUGAAUUACAAACAUGAUCAAUGGCUUUGGAAUAUAUACACUAAGAAUUAGUGCAAUCCAGCACUUAAGAAUUUUGUUCUAAAUUGCCAACCUAGCUAACACUCAUAAUCUUCCUUUUUGUCAAUUUUGGGGAAAAACCCUUUACAACACGAAUGAGUGCAAGCAAGCAAGCCCUAUCUACUCUCAUAUAAGGCCACUCGUUUACCUACUCAACCUCACAACCUAGGUACCACAAAACUUGCAUUUAAAAUUCACAAACAAUUAGUAACACCUACAUGAAACAAUUGAAUAUACACAAAACAAGUAUCUCAUAUCAACAUGUAUAUCUAAAAAUUCCAAAAGAAAUCUCACACGUAUAUGCAAUCCAAAAUAGACAAGAAUCAUCAAUAAUACCCCCAACUUGAUAUAAAUCCAAAAUAAACAAGUAUCUCAUAUCAAAAAAAAAGAAAAAAAAAUACAAUAAUCAUCAAUAAUAUCCACAACCUCAAUCUAUAAUGUAUCUCCCACUUUUUGUCCUAGAAGAAGAUAAAAAGUAGAAAUAGUCACCUGUAAGCAAGUAAAUAAGAUAGAAAAGUGGCAAAAAAAUGUCAAGUGUUCAUAAAUGGAAAUAAAGCAAAACUAAAUUAUCUAAAAUAUAUAUAUGUAUAUAAACUAGGGAAGAUGUUGAUGGAUGAAAUCCUCAAGAGCUUGGAGUUGAUCUAUGUAGCAAAACGGUUGUCCAUCAAUCACUAAGAAGCUUUUUUCCAUAUGCUGAUGAAGUUGUGAAAGCUGCCCAGAGAAAAAGGUGGAUUGUGCAAAAAUAAAAAAAAAUAAAAAAUUGUAUCUAAAGUAUCAAAUUUAACAAUCAAAUGAUCCAAGACACCAAAUCCUACAACUAAAGUGGUGUCAUCCUCACCAAUUGGGUCAUUUUCUCUUGGAUGACACAUUUUCUUCCUAGGACAAAUUGCACCCUUAGUUUGUCCAUUACUACGAUUCCCGAAAAAAAGUGUUAAUGGGACCCAUUGGUUUAAGAAAAUAUACAUUUAAAAGAAAACCCCAAAAUACAUUUGACAAAUUUAAGUGAUCAAAAUUCCAUAAUGAAGGACUACUUUCUUAGACAUUGAAAGUUCUUCCCCAAAGAUCGUUUCAUCUAUAAUGCAAGUGACAAGGUUAAGGGGUUUCUCGUGAAGAAUUCAAGGUAGGAGGAUUCUCCCCCAAAGAUCAUUUCAUCUAUAAUGCAAGUGACAAGGUUAAAGGGUUCCCUAUGAAGAAUUCGGGGUAGGAGGAUGUACCCUAUAUUUGCUUGAUGAGAAGAAUGAUAAAUUGAAUAUGACAAAAAUGUUGCCAAAAUCUAAGUUGGUUGAGAAAUAUUACUAGUAUGAAGUACAGUACCUAACGAAUCAUGCACCUCACCUCACAAAUCAAUUGAAACCUUGUCUAACUUUGUAGUGACUUCCAGAUCACUCAUAGAGGGUACAUCAACCAAUGGAAUGCCUAACACUUUUUAGCUACCACCUCUAGAUUGACCUCAACCAUUGUUCCAAAAAAACUUAAUAUAAAGUAAGAUUCACCUAGAUCAUGUUCAAUCAUAUUUGAAUAGAAUAGACAGACAAUCAGAGCACAACAACCCUAGUGAAAUAUGCUAGAAGAAUCCAAUCAAGUUUUAUUAACAAUGCUAGAACUAAUUUGUAGUAUCCUACUUUCAUGUAAUCUAUAAGGUUCAACAAACAAUUAAUAUUUCAAGAUCAAGGGUACUACAGUACUAUUUGUAGUAGUGAUCUUUAUAUAUCGUAUUAAUAAUCGAAAUAUGGUCAAAAGAAAAAAAAUCUCCAUUUGACAGGGUUUUUUCCUAUAUUAAGUCAUGAAUGAAAUGAUGUUUGAUGUCUAUGUGUUUUGUUCUAUAAUGAAGAAUAACAUUCUUAAAGAUGUUAUCGCACUAGUAUUCUCACAAAACACAACCAUGGUUCCUUGAUCUAUUCCAUAAUCUCUCAACAUUUGCUUGAUCCAUAGAAGUUAAGUACAACAACUAUUAGUGACAACAUAUUCUACUUCAACUAUAGAGAGUGAAACAGAGUUUUGUUUUUUGCUCAUCCAAGUAACCAAACAAUUUCCAAUAUAAAAGAAACCACCAUAAGUGUUUUUCCAAUCAUCAACAUUUCUAGCCCAAUCAACAUCAAUAUAGCAUGUUACAUCAAAAUGAGUGUCAGAAGGAUACCAAAGGCCUAACUUUAAAGUACCAGCAAUAUACCUAAUGAUGUGCUUAAGAACUAUGAGAUGGGAUUCCUUAAGACACGUUUGAUACCUAGUACAAGCUCCAAUGCUAAAUGUUAUGUUUGGUUUACUAGUUGUGAGGUACAAGAGGCUACCAAUCAUGCUCCUAUACAAUUUUUCCUCUACCCCUUUUCCAGAAUCAGCCUUACUUUAUUUUAUGUUGGUAGACAUUGGUGUCUUAUAGAGUUUUUUCGACUCAAGAUGGAACUUCUUGACAAGUUCCCUUGCAUACUAGGAUUGGGACAAGAAAAUCCUAUCCUUGAGUUGUUUCACUUGGAAGCCAAGGAAGUACAUUAAUUUCCCUACCAUGCUCAUUUCAAACUCACUUUUAAUCUCUUUGGCAAAACUUAAAGCACACUUACUAGAGGUAGACCCAAAAACCGUCAUCUACAUAAAUUUGUGCCACUAAGAACACUCUACUAUUUCUUCUAAUGAACAGUGUUCAGUCUGCUCCCCCUGUCAAGAAUCCUUUCUUAAGAAAAUAGGAUGUGAGUUUUUCAUGCCAAGCUCUAGGAGCUUAUUUCAAGCCAUAGAGAGUUUUUUUAAGACUAUAGACAUGGUGAGGGUACUUUGGGUCUUGAAAACAUUUGGGUUAAUCCACAUACGCUUCUUCAUUGAGGCUCCCAUUGAGAAAUAUACUAUUGACAUCCAUUUGAAACAAUUUAAAUUUUCACACACAAGCUAUAACCAAGAGUAUUCAUAUGCAUUCAAGUCUUGCAAUCGAAGCAAAUUUUUCAUCAAUAUCAAUUCCUUCAAUUUGCUUGAACCUUUGAGCAACCAACCUUGCUUUAUUUGUCAUAAUCACUCCAUUUUCAUCUAUCUUAUUUUUGAAAAUCCAUUUUGUUCCAGUGACAUUCAUAUCUUUUAGUCUAGGCACUAAAAACCAAACUUCAUUUUUAGAAAGUUGAUUUAAUGCCUCAUGAGGGGCCUCUACCUAAACAUCAUCAUUCAAGGCUACCUCAACAUUUUUUGGUUCAAUUUGAGAGGUAUAACAAACAUAACUUAUCUCAUUUAACUUGGAUUGUCUCCUUGUUACCAUGCUUUCCUCAUAAUCUCCAAUCAUAUUAUUCAAUGGAUGGUUCUUUAGCACCCUUGACCUAUUUUUCUUGGAUGGUUCAAUUCUCCCCUUAUCAACUUUCUCUCCUUGCUAUUUUCUCUUUUCUUCCUCUUCACUUAACCAUUUAUUUUCAGAUUUUUUUUUCAAUUAGAUAGAAAUCUUUUGAGACUUCAAUUCUAUCAUCAUCAAACUUUCUUAACUUUGAUCCUUGAUCAUCCACAAUCAUAUUGAAUAAUUCUACUAUACAUUUUGAAUUCAAAAUGUAUACAUUAUAUGCCCUACUUUUAGAAGAAUAUCCUAGAAAUAUCUUUUCAUCACUCUUGGUACUCAAAUUUAUUAAGAUUUUCAUGAUUUUUUAAGACAUAGCAUCUACUUCCAAACACCCUAAAGUACUACACACUAGGCUUCUUUCAUUUCCAUAGCUCAUAACAAGUCUUCCUAGUAUGAGGACAUAAGUGAAUCCUAUUGGAAGUAUAGCAAGCACUAUUAAUAGGUUCAACCCAAAAGUAUGUAAGGAGUUCAUGGUGAUUUAGCAUUGUUCGGGCCAUUUCUUGGAGGACACUAUUCCUUUUCUCAACUACUCCAUUUUGUUAAGUAAUUUUAGGAAUGGAAAACUCAUGUUUGAUUCCUAAAAAAAUUACAAAAUUUUAGAAAAUCAUAAUUAUCAAAUUCUUUUCUCAUAUCACUCUUAAUUCUUUCAGUUGGAUACCCUUUUUCAUUUUGAAUUUUCAAACUAGCAUCUUUGAAAUUUAUGAAAACCUCACUAUUUUCUCUUAGGAAUGCAACCCAUUCAUGCUUAGAGUAGUCAUCAACCAUUACCAAGUUGUAUUUCUUGUCACCUAAACUCUAAGUUCUCAUUGGUUUUAUGAGAUCCUUGGGUAAGAGUUCUAAGAUUUAGAGGUCAAAAUUUCAUCAACUCUCCUAUGAGUACUCCUAGUUUGUUUUCCCUUUUGAUAAGUACCAUAACUAGGAUUGGAGGGUUUUCCAAGUUUAGGAAUCCCUUUGAUGACUUCAUUGUUAACAACCUUCAUUAAGUCAUGAUAGUUUAAAUGGCCUAAUCUACGAUGUCACAAAUCAACCGA